rnacentral:lncRNA from 1 species
CCAAACAAGAGGUGCCUCACAAGGACGUCAGACCUCAGCCCCUCAAGUAUCUUGUGGGUACUGUGGAAAGGUCAAUCAUACGGAGAAUGAUUGUUGGCGGAAAGCAGGAAAAUGUUUAUGGAGUGGUAGUACCGAACACCAGCUUGCAACCUGUCCCCGUAGAUCACACCUAAACCCUGAACAAGCAAAUGUAAGAGGGACUAAGCCAAGAGUGCCAGCUAGAAUGUACGCCUUGGAUCAACAGGCAUUACCUGAACCCUCGGAGAUAGUAGAAGGUAUGAUUCGUGAUUUCUAUUGUUUAACUAAGUUUUGGCUAUAAUGAGACCUGAGAGCUGGAAACGAAUAUAUAAGGAAAAUACCCUACGUUAUUCGAAGUGCAUGUAUGAAUUUCGAGGACGAAAUUCUUUUAAGGAGGGGAGAUUGUGACACCCCGAAUAUUAGGAGAUUGUUUGUAAAGAAGAUACUAAAGUAUAUUUCUUUGGAUUUGAUUUAAAACCUUAUUUUGUUUUAAAAGAUUAGAAACCCUAAUAUUUUAAUCAUAAACCCUAGUUACUUGUGACUAACCGGUUUUCUUAAAUCUCUCAUAUUUUAAAUGAGACCCUAAUUUUAAUCACUGGAAUUGUAAAAUCUCUCACGUUUUUCUUAAAAAUUUCCUUUUAUUUGGAAAUUAUUAGUUAUUAAAGCCCUACUACCCAAAUCAUUCCACAAUGAGUGUAAAUAAACCUAGAAAGUAGAGUUUCACUUUUGGUUUCAAGAUUGGGGCAAAAUUAGGGUUUUCACGAUUUUUCGCCGGAUGAAUUUUCGAUACGGAGCAAGGACCAAAUUUGGUGAUUAAAAAUGACUUUUAAGUGAGAAAUAAUAUGUGAUUAGGAGCAAUGAUACAAGGUUAGUGAAUAGGAAGUAAAAACCCUAGUACGUGUGUUUUUAAAAAAAACGGCGCGAACCGACGGGUACCGCGCACUACCGAUUGAACGCACCACUUGACCACCACUUUCUUACCAUACAAGCUCAUUAAUAUUUGAGCAAAAUAUCUCCUAAUUUGCAGCUAAGCUUGACCGAAAUUAAGGGCUGAAAAUACAAGAGAGAAAAAGAAAAUUUUACUUGGUAAGGGUUGUGACAAGUGUCACACCGUUAGGGGCCAUUGACCAAGACAAUUGUCCAACCUUCUUAUCCCCCAAAUUGCUCCAUACUCCUUCAUUUUUCUGCUGAAGAGCCGAGAGAGAGAGAGAGAGGGAAAGAACAAGAGAAAAACUUCUUCAUUUCUUCUUGAAUCUAGCAACCAAGGGAGGAAACAAAGAAACUAAACCGAUUAAAGGCACCCUUGAGUGUUUAUUUAGUGAGCUAUUGGUGAAAUUUUGAAGGGGAAAGCUAGGGUUGCUCUUGGUAGACACUAAGCAAGGUAAGGAUGAUGAUUUCCCCAAAUUUUACUCUUAAUCUUGUUUAAAUUAGCUUAGCUUCUCAAAAUUGUGAUGAAUGACGGUUAUUAUCAUGUUUUGGGUAGUUUUCCCUUUUGUUACAUGAAUUAGGGUUUGAUGGCUUGCUGUCUAUACUUGAUGUAUGAUUGAUAUAUGUUGUAUCCAAGGUUAUAUAGGGGGUUUUGGUAGCAAGUGUAGCAAGAAAUUAAGAAAACUAUCAUUGAAACCAAAAGAUUUCAGAUUUCUGGAAAUUUUCACCCUAUUCUGCCCGUUUUUGUUGCACCAUGUUAGAGGCCGAAUUGGGCUUGGAAUAAAACAUGAAAGUUGUAUAUAAUGGUAUUUUAUAUGUGGCUACCAAAUUUCAGCCCAAUCGGAGCAACGUAGCUUGUGAAAAGAUGAAAAUACCCUCGCUGUUCUAGGUUACAUUCCAGAGUUCCGCGUGGACAGUUUAGCCUAUUUGGUUGUGUUUAUUCACUAUAAUCCGUUGGGAUUUAGCUAUUUUCCAAAACAUAAAAGUUUUAGUAUGCUGUCUUAGCUUUUAAACGCCUCCAAGAACACCUUAAUCGGACCUUGGUAACCUGAGAUAUGACCAUUCCAGUGCAGUGCGGUUAAUUAGCCGACUAGUUGGAUUUUGGUUCUGUAAAUUGGGAAUUUGACUAGGUUGCAUUGGAAACUGGACUAAGUGAUCUUCAUGAAAAUUUUAGCCCUAUGUCUUAGAUUCGAAACGGUAUAAGUUACACCUCAAUUCGAUAAGCGUAGCCUCGGAUGUGUUCUUUCCGCAACCCCACGUCAAAUCUGUCUUUUGCUAGGUUACAUUUCCGAACUUGUUAUCACUUUGACUUUUAUUCUUAUGUUGUUAUGAGCCUAUGGAACGGCUAUUUACUUGAAUCUAUGAUAUGUAUGACUUUGGGAUUGGCUGAGGAAAAAUAAUGAAGCCAUAAAUGGCUGAAAAAUUAGGUAAACACAAAGGGCGUGCUGCCCAAAUUUACGCUCGAGAACUAUAGAAAUACACUUGCGACUUGGGUAGAGUUGAUAUGAAUGUCACUUGAACCAUCUAGGGUACUUGAGUCUUCUUGUUCCGAGGUAUAUAAGUAAGGACUUGGCCGAACUUGUAUCCUUGAGAAAUGAAAUAAUAAUUGCUCGGAGUAUGUUUUCCUUGUACUUUCGACUCGCAGGGCAUUUUGAAGUAUAAAUGUUACAAAGUUUUAUCGUUUAAAAAGCGAGCAAGUGUUUCACGACUACUCUCGAAGUGAAUUCCAAUUUCUUGAUUUUUAUUGAACGAAACGUCUAAGUUUCGAAUCUUAGUCAUGUUUCAAAGUUCUCAAACUGAGUUUUAUCGCAGAUUUGGACUCCGAACCCAGAGUAUAACCUGAAAGUGACCAGUAAAGGCACUAUAUCUUUUGGUGAGUGCUUUCAAAUACCGAAUUGAACUUGAUACUUGAACUUGAUACGUGGCCAAUAUGAUUACAUGUUAUAUACGUGAAUUGUUAGGGCAAGAGUAUACUUUAUCGCACUUGCCCUUAUGUGAAAUAUACUUGUUUAUUGUUGCAAUUGACUCGAUAUACUUGUUUAUGAUGUGCGCACUUCCUGGAAUUCCAGAAACCCUGCGGCGAGUUACUUAAGUCGAGCCGGCAAGGGCUUGGUCGAUUGGGUAACGAACCCUGGGUCUCUUGUUUUGUCGAGUGGAGUAAUAUCUCCUCGACUAAUUGGUAUACUCGAGUAUUACCACCCGUGUUUCUUGAGGAUUUUGGGCCCAGCUGGGGGUUUGAACGGUGGACGGAGAGUCGUUUAAGUGGUGUUCUACUGGAUUGGUUCCUUUACUUGAAAGUUGACGGAGUAUCAACUAUUAUGUGAUCAAGCUCCUGAUGAUGAAAUGGGAAGUUGGCUCCUGAGAGCCAUCCGUAUCCUUAUGUUUUGGAAUGAUUAUUGCUUAUUGGAUUAUUGUUUAUUCUGAAAAACAUCUACACUCGCUCAUUUUGAGAUUGCUACUUGACGUGCUAUUGCUCACCUUUAUGAACUCUUCAUGCUCGUUACUUUGCUAUAUCGAAAACUUGUACUUAUAAAUAAUGGUCAAUUUGCUAUUUGGAAUCUCACUGGGCUUUUAGCUCAUUCCACUCCAUUUGUUUUCCUUUCAGGGUACGAGCGAGGCGUGAGAUAUGUAAAGACUAGCGUAGACUAGUUGUUUUGACUUUUGACUUGUACUCGCGCUAUUACUCGAAUAGAAUGUUUUGUAUCUGGAUUGUAUACACUUUGAACCAGUUUGGGUAUAUUGAGGUUUUGUAUCUUGAUUGUGCAUCAAUGUAAAUUAUAAGCUUGAAUUGCGAUGUUAUUUAUGGUCUAUGGAUGUAUGCAUGUGAUACGAGUGAGUGAGUCCUGAUGAGAGUUGGGCAGGCGGUCCGCCGAACCCUUUGGUACGCCUUAGGGGGAGGUGGGGUCGUCACAGAUACUUUAAAUUUUACGAUCCAUAGCCAGUAUUUUAACUGUGAUUAGCGUGAAUUUUUUUUUUCAUUACUUGUGAACCUGUGCUAUACAAUGAAUAAUUGAAGAAAACUACACAAUAUUUUUUACUAAUUCAUUUCAACAAUUUGUUGUUUUUGAACAUUCAACUACCAUGACAAUUAUGAGAAACAUUGCACGUGAAUUUAUUAUAAUAUGACAAAAUUCACCAUCAAAUUUUUCGAGGCAUUUAAAAGAAUUAACUCUCUUUCUUUGAAAAAGGAAUUAAACUUUUAUCGACUUUGUAUAUUACAAUGCAAUGUGUGUCAAAAUAGAAACGUAGGUAACAUAAUUUGGAUGGAUAUUUACAAGUAUAAAAAAAAAUAACAGGUUGAGUUUUUGUAAUUCAAACAUGGGAAUUUACUCAACAUUAAUCCAUGACACAAAGAAGAAAAAUAAAGCAUUUGCUUCAUGGCUGAAAUAGCUAUUUGUACAGCAGAAUUGCUACUUUCCAGUGCAAAAUUGUAGGUUUUUUUUUUUAAAAUUUGAAUACUACAACCAUUAAGAAGUUUCUUUAUAGAGUGAUUAACCAAUGGUUUUAGAAGAUAAUUUGCUAUUUGUAAAUUAUUGUUCAGUCCUAAAUUAAUUUUUCUUAGAGAAAAUAUCACAAAUUGACACCAAACUACUUACAAAAUGUUUUUUUCAAUCACUAAACUUUUUAUUUAGUCAAAAUGGUCUUUCAACUAAUUAGAACAUACAUUUUGUGAUAAUAAAAAAAGUGUAUACUUUUAUUAGUUGAGUGACUAAAAGUAAAAAAUUUUAUUUGUUGAGUGACAAAAACUAUACUUUUUAUCAGUUAAAUAACUAUUAUGACGAACUUUCAGUGACCAAAAUAGGAAAUUUUAAAUAUUUUGCUGCAACUUUUUCCAUUUGCUCUUUUUCUUAAUUUAAUAAUAUUUACAGCCAAACCCCUAGGCCGCCAUUAAAGUCCAUCUACAGUCUUAAGGUGUCAUUUGUUUCCGGAUAACAUUUAUAAUGGCAACUUGUACAUGUGAACUGAGAAUUUUACCAUGGCGUGCUGCAGUACCCCCCCCGGCGCCCCAAGGAUUUUAUACUCUCCCUUUAAAAUUUUUUUUGAGACUUUAAAUAGUUUUUGACUAAAUGUGACUGAUGAUAGUGUCAAUGUGUCAUAAAAGUAAUUUACAUAUAUUACAUCAUGAUGCCAAAAAUAGUUAACAAUUUAAUACUCACUUAACCUUCUUUUAAUAUCGUAUUGUAUAUAAUGCGUUAGAGCCUUACGGUAUGUAAUAUAUUGCCAUCGUUUAGAGUGCAAAAUGUGCUCUCUUCCUCAUCAUAUAUAUAUAUUUUUUAAUGAAGCAUAAGAGUAGAUUCAAAAAUUUGCAAUGCCAGUUACUUGGUGGAUUAUAAUAACUCCUAUCUUUAUGAAAUAUUAGGGUUAAAGCCAGAAUCAAGAAUUUUACCUUUUUCUUUUCUUUUGAUACACUAAUUUAUCGAAUCUGGUAAAUAUUGAGAUGGAAACAUUUGAAGUGUAUUAUGCACUAGUCUUAUGACAAUAUGAAUUGUUUCAAUUGGUACGAUCAUGUUACUUUUUCAACAAAGGCCGCUUGUGCAAGUCUCGAUAUUAUUGAUGCAAUUGAUAGGUAAUUUAUAAAAAUUAUUGUAAGCAAUCUCCGAUUUCAAAUUUUUGCGUACACAAAAAAAAUGCUAUUCUCACAAUGUAUAAAGCAUGAUCCCUUUUAUGGUGCUAACUUUACCAAUGAGAUUAUUAUGUUCAUAGUUGUAAAUCUCACUCGAGUCCAAACCUUUUAACAAAAAUAUUAUUGUCUAUAACCCAGUUCGGUUUCCCCUUAUAUAAUCACAUGCUACUUUUACAGUGUUAAUAACGUGUUUAAACAAAAAAUCCAUGCAAAAUUUUAUUAAGUUAAACAAGUUGCUAGUGGCCAAUGCUUACGUGUGGUGUCCGCCCCCUCGGUCCUAAGAAAAUUUUAUUUUGACGCUACUAUAUAUUUCCAUUUGAAAAGCGUUUGCUGCUAUUUCCAAUUACCACUACAAGAAAUUUGGUUAUUAAUGACAACAUUUCCUAGUGACGAACAUUAGUCGUCACAAAAUGGGACCCAUUAGGCACAAUAAAAAAAGUUGUCACAAUUGGCUGAAAGGAGCAAAGGCAUCAGUGAUGACCUUGAAUUGUCGUCACAGUUGGACUCCCGCCACAUCGCGUCAAACUACAUCAGCGACGACUAUCUAGAUGUUAUCAAUAAUAAUUUCCCUUUCUUUGACAACUUGGCUGUUGUUGUCACUGAUAAUAGUGGAACUAGUUAGUGACAACUUUCUCUUGUCACAAUCUGAUUCAAAAUAUGUAUACACCAUCGCACUUGUUAUUCAGUAUUUGCUCUCUAUGAAUUUUUUAACUGUUAGGAACACAAAUUUUGUCAUGUAAAUUAAUAUUAGUGCAAUAAUUUGAAGUGAAAUUAACCAUUUGAAACAAAUCAUCUCUCCUUAUUAUAAAAUAACAAAAAAAAUCUGGAGUAUUGGGCAAAAAUAAUGGAAAGAAAGAUAAAUAAGUUGUAAUUUAGUUCACAAUUUUGAGAAAAGUGAUAUCAAUAGUAAUAUCGGAUCAACUGUUUGAUGUUAUAAAAAAAUUAGCUAUUUGAAACAGAACCAAGGUGCAUUUACCACUUGUAAUAUUUCAACAUAAUUUUCUCACCCAUUAUGAAUAUUUUCACAAAAAUAUUUAAAAGUAGCAAGUAAUAUUAUAUUAGUAAAAUAUUAAUUCAACUAAAAUGUUGGAAACUAAAAAACUUUGAUUGAAAUUUUGGUACUGAACAAGUAAGGGGGAAAUCUAAGGAAUUGAAAUUUCAUUCAAAGUCAAUAUUUUGAGGAGAGGCGCGGAAACACUUAGAACGCUUAGAACCAAAUAGCCAACACUACCAGUAUCCUAAAGCCAACACUACUAGUAUCACCGAACAAAACACUACCAGUAUCCUAAAGCCAACAGCCAACACUUAGAACCAACCGUAGCACACUGCUCCUUAUCUCUGCCGAAACAUCUCCUCGCCAUCUCCUAAUUGAUCUUGGCUCGGAAAUGAUCAAAUAGAAGACCACAUUUAGCAGCAACUCUCUACAAAAAAAGGUAUGCCGAUUCUCUUUUUCCUCCCUAAUUUUCCCCCAAAUGUUUUGCCCUAAUUAUUUUUUUUUUGCCAAAAAUUUCAGUCCAGUUUUUUGGGUUUCAUUUGAUUUAUGGAUGGAGUCAUCUCCUCCUUUUGGAUUCUGCUUACUUGUGGGUUUUACCCUUGUUAAUUUUUGGUCAACAUUUUAUUUUAGGUAUGUAUGGGUUCGUAUUUUGAAUGUAUUUUGGACUUUCCUUCUUGUCCAGAUGGUAAAUAACAAUUUAUGCAUACUCGCACCAAGAAAAGGAAAAAGAAAGAAAAAAUGUCUUAUGUCUAGGACCCAUAAUAACUCAAUCAUAGCAAAUGCUGGAUGAAGACUAUCCUUAUUGAGGAAAUAUUUCACCCGUUUUCUUCUUAUUUUUAUCUUGGAUUUGUGUAUCAAUUUGCUUUCAAAGCAAAUCCAGAUUAAAAAAAAUGGGAUGUUGACUUGUGGAAAAUGUGAACCAAUUAAUGUUGAAUAUUGAUUUGAGUCCCAUUUCGGAUGGUUUUGUUCCUAUCCAUUUAUUAUCAUCACAUUUUUUUUGGAAUAAAGCAAAGUGGUCAUAUUGUUGUGCUCACAUUAUAGUAUUAUACUUAACAAAUUUGAAAAUUAGAUAACCUUUAAUGAAGAUUUUAUAAAGUGGCUUUAUGGAAAAUUCUUAACAUUUAUAACUGCUAAAUGUUGUGGUGUCGUGAAGGCACCAAGUUACCACGUUACAAUUGGUAAGUUUACUUAUGGAAGAUGUAAAUUCUGUUAAGAUAGUAGAUGAAUUUUUGAUAUCUUACCAUUAGUAUGGCGAGAUUUAGUACUGCUCCAGGUAAUGAUAGCCAUUGAUUGAACUGGUUGUUUGUUACUGUGAUCUCAGUGCCGUCCCAGGAAAUCUCCACUGAGAUCUAAUAAUUAAAUUUCUCCCUUGCCCUUUUUGUUUUGUUGUCUUCUUUAUGAACCAAAAGUUUGUUUCCUUUUUGACAAGAAUGUCCAGGUGUAUUUGUGACAUGUUUGACAGUUAGUUUCCUUUUUGUGUUUAUGAACCAAAUGUGUAGUUGUGACAUGUUUGAAUUUACUAAUAGCUGUGUUGUAUUUUGUUUAAUUUUUAUUAUUGUUGUAUGGGAAGAUUAAUUUCCUGUAUUGAGCUUAAUUUCCUAUAUUUAUUGUAUGUGUUGUCGUUGUAGUAUCAUGGUUGCGUAUUUUUUUGUGUUAGGAUCAACGGUGCUUGUGAAAAAACAUGGAUAGGAGUUGGAUGACAAUUAAAGAUUACUUGCAUCCUAGAUACUUGGCAGGAGUGAAAGAAUUCGUUGAGUUUCCUUAUUUAGGUAAGGAUCCCACAUAUAAGCUCCCUUGUCCAUGUAAAAGGUGCAACAACUUUGAGGAUCAAACUAUGGAGGUCAUGAAAAGUCAUUUGUGUGGGGGAAUUGUUGAAAGCUAUACUAGGUGGAUAUAUCAUGGUGAAAGGUUUGAGGAUUCUGAUGAGGAUGAAAAUGAUAACAUAGUUUUAGAUGAAGAAAAUAGUGAGUCAGAUGAUAUUCAAGAAAUGUUAAAUGACGUUGGUACUGCAAACUUUGGUGAGAAUUGGAGAAAUUCAGGGGAACAUAAUAGGGAUAUACCAAAUAAGCAAGAGGGGGAAGCAAGUAAGUUUCUUAGAUUAUUAUCUGAAGCUGAAAAAAGUCUCUACCCGGGUUGUGAUAAGUACUCAAAACUUUCCUUUGUUGUCCAUAUCCUUCAUUUGAAAACUAUGAAUCGGUGGACUUGCAAAUCCAUCAAUAUGCUGCUGAAAUUCGUCAUUCAAGUCUUUCCCAUGGCAUCAAUUCCUAGCUCAUACUAUGAUGCAAAAAAUUUAAUUCGUAAACUAGGACUCAAGUGUGAAAAAAUACAUGCAUGUGAAAAUGAUUGUGCACUUUAUUGGAAAGAAAAUGAAAGCCUCGAUCGCUGCCCAAAUGAAAAAUGUAAAGCGCCUCGUUAUAAAUCCCCGGGUUCUAAAAUUCCUAGAAAAGUGCUUCCUAUUUCCCCUUAAAAUCAAGGUUGCAAAGACUAUUCAUAAACAAGGAGAUAGCUCAAGAUAUGAGGUGGCAUAAAGAGAGACGCGUUCCCAAGGAAAACACAAUGACACACCCUGCUGACUUAAUAACUUGGAAGGAGUUUGAUAACACUCACCCAUCUUUUCCCGAAGAUCCUCGUAGUGUUAGGUUGGGGCUUUCAACUGAUGGUUUCAAUCCCUAUGGAAACAUGAAUAAUGCAUAUAGUAUAUGGCCUGUAAUCCUUGUUCCUUACAAUCUACCACCUUGGAAAUGCUUAAAGGACCCUUUUUUCCCGUUAUCAAUGAUUAUUCCAGGUCCUAAGUGCAUAGGAAAUUAUAUGGAUAUAUUUUUUAGGCCUCUAAUUGAUGAGUUGAAAGAGUUUUUUGACACUGGCUUUGAGACUUAUGAUGCAGCUGUGGGAGAAAAAUUUAUGUUACGGGCUGCUCUUUUGUGGACUAUAAGUGAUUUUCCAGCAUAUGCCUAUUUGUCAGGGUGGAGUACGAAAGGUUAUAAGUCUGUCCUGUUUGUUUAGAUGAUACAACCAGUGUAUAUCUGAGAAAUGGAUUAAAAUGUUGCUAUAUGGGGCACCGGCGUUUUUUGCCAGCGGACCAUAAAUGGCGUACAGAAAGAAAGUCAUUUGAUGGCAAGAGUGAUCUUAGACAGCCUGUUAGAACUUUAUCCGGUGAAGAAAUCUUGGAACAACUUCAAGAUUUUGAUCAAAUGGUGUUUGGUAAGGCACCUGAAUUGCUUAAAGAGAAGAAAAGAAAACGCAUGCAAAAUCAGUCAAAUUGGUUGAAGAAAAGCAUUUUUUUUGAGCUGUCAUAUUGGAGUACUAACAAAAUUAGACACAACUUGGACAUUAUGCAUAUCGUGAAGAAUGUGUGUGAAAUUUUGUUGGGUACAGUGAUGGGUACGGGACACAAAAAUAGGGACACUUGGCAAGCUAGAGAGGAUUUGAAGGAAAUGAGAUUGAGGGAAGAAUUGCAUCUUCAAACUCAAGGGGAUUCAAAGAUGAUGCCCGCUGCAUGCUACACUCUUUCACGCAGCAAAAAACAAAAACUAUGCCAGUUUUUGAGCUCACUCAAGUUCCCCGAUGGAUUUGCCUCAAACAUAUCUCGUUGUGUUAAGACAAAAGAGUGCCAAAUUUCAGGGAUGAAGUGUGAGGACCUGAAAAUUUUCUUAUUUAUCGAAUAUAACAAGUUUACUUAAAUAUUUAUUUACUCAUUUUCUCGAAAUUAUUUAUUUCGACCAUUUAAAAUCCAUUUAUAUGGAACAACGCCUCUUUAAAUUUUUAAAGCAUUUUGUUGGAAAAUUCACUUUCGAAAAUUCGUUUAGUUCGGAACAACGAGUGCACGUCUUUCGAGGCUAUACUUGAAUCGGGAGUGUAUUAAUAUUGGAGAGUUAAAAAUGAUCAAUGGUAGAUUAAGAAAGGUUAAUUGAGGAAUUAAUACUCGACUCAUGUGAGGACUCACAAUUUUUAACUCCAAAUUCUAGCUCAUUUAAUUAUUUAUUUGGCCAAACGCUCCGAUUAUUAUUUUCUAACCUUAUUCGACCUAAAUACAUGGAUUUAUGGCUUCAUUAUAUUUUUAAAGUGCCUCGUUUCAAAAAUUAAUUUUUGGAAACUCAAUUAAUGAAAAUAGUGAAAACGUGUUUGGAAAUUUUAGCCAAUAGAGAGUAUAAUAAACUCGGAAAAUUGGAGACAUGUACAAUGGUCCUAAAAUAGGUAAUUUUAGGUUUAAGUACUCAAGUGAUAGUUAGUGGUACGAUCGUUAUAAGAAUUUCUUGGAGGUUUAACUCUAUCGCGCUUAAAUUGGAGAUACACGUUUUCACGCGCGCAAUUUAAUUGAGGAACUUUGGACCCUUAUUUUAGGGCAAUUAAGAGUGAAUAAUAUUAAUAUGAAUGUAAGUGCAUUAGAGGUUUAGUGCACUAGUGCAACAACCUUAAGAGGAAUCGAGCACGAAACGCGCGCGUACGCGCACUAUUUGCGGUUGACUUUGCUGCACCAAACACUUAACCUUUAAGUUACCUUUAAGGAGCUAGUCCAUCAGAUUUUUUUUUCCCCUCUCUUCCCUCUCUCAUCAGCCGAGCAACACAAGAGAAAAGAACACUCCAAGCUUCAACUUCCUUCUUCAAAUUCCUCCAUCAAACUUCCUCCGUUUCACUUCAAAAUUUGACCGCACUUAGCUUAACUCUUGGAGAUUACAUCUAACUAAGAAAAGGGGGAGCUUUUCACGGUUUUCUUGGCCAAGGAGAGGACCAAAAAUUUCUGUUGUACACAUCAAAGCAAGUAAGUAACGAUCAAACCUUGGAAACUUGAUUUAUGGAAGUUCUAGUGCACCUUUAAGCUCUUACUUGCAUAUGGGUAGCUUGUUUGUGAUGGAAAAUUGGUUGUGUGGGCUCUAUGAACUCCCACCUUGGAUAUAUGACUGAUUUGUGAUGUUUUGAUGGUAAUAAUGUUUAUUUAGUGUUUAAACUAGUGGAUUAAUGUUGGGUUGUGGAUAGAAACUCAAGGAUGGUGCAUUGAUCAAAAGUGACCGUUUUGACCCUGCCUUGUUCGAGCACUUUGGUGCAAAAUCUUGAGGAUCUAACGGUUUUUUUAUAUUUUUUACAUGUUAUAUUGAUUGUGUAAAAAUUUUAAUUGAAAAAUAACAUGAUUUGGUCACCCAAAUGUGUUGAUUUCGAAAGCUUAGAAAACUGGAAAAUGGUUCCCGUAACUGCCAGGCAGCCUUUUUCUUUUGGCCAUAACUUGUUACUCCGAUGUUGGAAUCGAGUGCCGUUUGUGGCACUGGAAACUAGACAUUCCCAGGUUUCCGUUGGUAUAAAAUUUACGUCCUGGUUCCACUUGUGUGAGCCAAACCAUUCAUUUGGAAUUCACUGUCCUGUUUUGUUGCUUCCUGGAAGGCAGCACAUGAGCUGUAACUUGAUGCUCACGAAUGAGCUAGUUAUGGACAGAUUUUGGUAAUGGUUUGUUCUAAGAAAAUGUAACCUUAUGAAUCUAUUUUCCAAUGACACCAACCAUGCUCAAUUCCAAGUUAAAUUGAGUGAUUUAUGAUCAAAAUUCGAAACUGGUUUGGUGAAGGAAAACCAUGCAUUUGGACAGAUUUGAAACUAACGAUACUUUGGGACUUGUUAUCCAAACAUUCUUGGUGUUAAUCACCAUAAAAAAUAUCUUGGAUGUUUAAUAAACAUUGUCUACUAAAAUGUACCAUGUUUGCAAGGAUUUCAUGUGGCCAAAAGCUUGGAAAAAGGACAUUUUGUACACAAGGCAGUUUUGCCUUGAAAUUUUAGAAAUUUGGGUGUGUUAGUUAACCAACUUUCCGUGCUUAUUUAUCCAUGAAAUUUGGCAGAGAAAUACUCCUUAUAUGUUAGUAUUAUACUGCUAAUUUUGGUGCUAUUCCGAGGCCGUUUCAUUGCUCAACUAAACUUCCAAAGUUCAUGACUUGAUUUUGGAAAACCAUUGUUUCACAAGGAAAUUUGGGUAACUUUGAGCUACAAUAUCUUGGUGUUCAAAAUUUCAAUUCUUGUUCCGCUUGUUUUGUUCUAAACUUGGAUUGUAGCUCUAGUAGAGUAUCAAAUUUCAAAGGUUAGUUCAAAUCAAGUGAAUUUUACCGAAUUUUCAAAUUUGGCCAAAAACCAACUUAAACCUGUCUUCAAUGCCCGGGACAGCCACUUUGAGCUAAUUUUUGGAUACCUUCCGUUUGGAAUCGUAGAAAAUUGUUUUCUAGAAACUUUUAGUACUUUGAAUGAUGUUUCCAACGGUACCAUGUUUUCCAAUUUUGGACUUGUAAAGAGUGAGGUACGAUUUUUUAAAGAUCUCAUAUCAAAACUGAAAUUUUCGAGUCUUAAGGAAAUGGAGAUUUUCGAAUUCUCCUUAUCCCUUUGAUAUUACUUGAACAUUUUAUACUUGAUUUCUAAGAUGGAAACUCGAUUGCUCUUGUAUUUUAAAACCCCAUGUUUGAGCCUCGAUUUACGAGUGAUUGGGGGUUUGUUUUCAUGAGAUUUGCCUAGAUUGUACACUAAGUGCAAUCUUUUCAAUAAUUGGGAUUUAUGAGUGAUAAAUCCUUAUUACUUGCUCAGGCUCGCACGAGAAUCUUCAAGAGGAUCCUACGGCAGACGCUUGAACUACAAGUAGUAAUUUUCCUUAAUUGAAUUGGUGGGUGUCAAGUGCAUGUUUACUUGAACUCCUGUGAACUCGAUACAUGUUUACUUGUUAUUGGUACUUGAAAUUUUAAAAUUCGAGACGAGGGUGUACUUUAUUGUACUCGUUCUCGCUUGAAAUAAAUGACUUGUACUUGAAAUGCUUGAAUAUCUCGAUAGCUUGAAUACGUCACAUGCUUGUAUGGCUUGAAAUAGUAUGCUAUGGCUGCAUACGUCGUUGGAGUGAAUCUCCUCGACACUCGAACAUGCUUGGGGGACGCCCACAUCUCAUUGGCGAUCCUUGGACUCGAGCCGGCAUGGGCUUGGUCGGGAACCUUGGUGAGCCAUGAGAAUCACAUGAUAAGUUUGAUCUAUUGGAGAAAUCUUGCUUGGCAUACUCGUUGAAGUAUUGCCUUAAACAAAUGACAGGCGGGCCCGAAACAGGGGUAUGUAAGGUGAAAGGGGACAGGUUAAGUAGAGUUCUACGGACUAAACCUACCCGAUUGACAGAGUGUCAAUUCAUGGAGGUUAUUGAUCGUGCGAUUGGAACAUAGCUCCUGAGAGCUCCAGUAUACUUGAAUUGUUUCUGUUUACUUUUCCAGUGAAUUGCUAAUCAUUGAAAUAUUAUUACUUGACUUGUAAAUUUGGGAUUGUUACUUGAACAAUGUGCUUGCAUGUGUGUUCUUGGCCUCACGAGCGUUUUGCUUACCCUGUAGAUUUGUUUUCCUUAACAGGAUUGGGCUUGGAAUGAGACUCAGAGGAAAUUCUAUUUGUGUACUUUUGUAGACUUUUGUAAUAGGGUUCCAAUUCUAUUGACUAGACAUUGUGACUAUUGUAUAUUUUGGGAUGUAUUAUGGAAACCCGUUGUAUGGAUUGGGUAAUUGUUAAAUAUUGUUAAGCUUGAACGUAAAUUGCUUGAGUCCUGGCGAGAGUUGGGCAGGCGUCCCGCGAAUGCCCUUUGGUAUGCCUUAGGGAGAAGUGGGGGUGUCACAGUUGGUAUCAGAGCUUAGGUUUCAGAUUUCUGUAGUGUAUCCUAGGCUUAAAAGUUUAGGAUGCCGGACUAUGGAACUGAUUGGAAAGCUAAGUGACAGCUUGUGAAAAUGAAAAACAAAUGAACCUAGAUUUGAAUUAGUGGAUGACAAGGAGUCUUGAUCUUGUGUGAUACAUGUGGGAUAGUACGAAAUGAUCAGAUCUAGUUUAUUGAAUAUAUCUGGACCUACACGAGCUUUUGCUUGUAAGGGUAAGCUAUGGGAGGUAAGAGUGAUAUUAAAUGGUCUCGGGACGCCUUCCGGUGGUUCAUUAUCGAGAAAGACCUAAGGGAGCAUUGGAGAGAUAAUCCAAUUCACAGAAUUAGAACUUUAUGUGAUUUUCAAAGGACUUGCUCGUGCCCAAAUAAUGGGGUAUUAAUAGUGGUCGAUCAUUAAAAGUGGCUAUCCGAGGAAAUUAGGAUGAUUCGAGGGGAUAAUCGAUAAUUGAGGGCAAUUACGGAUGCCUAGACUACUAGAAUUCCUGAAGUGGAGAUUGAGAUACUUAAGGAGCGAGGAAGACAAAGGAUCCUUGUGAGAAGCUUUAAAAAACUAAGACCCGACUUAUUAGGGUAGUGCCCGAAAUUAAAGAUAGGACGGAUAAGUCGAUGGUUGGGUGUGUUACCUUAGUUGAACAAGUGGAGAAUGACAAGAUAUUCGAUAAGGGACAUGAGAUCUAAAACUCCUAGUGCUGGAAAUGAAAAUGAUCUUACGGAGGUAAUGAAGAUUUUUGGCUCCAAUCACUAAGUUAGUGAUUUAAACUAUUUUAAUAGUUUUGCCAAAGAUAGACGGGGUGGCGCUCGCUUAAAGGCCAUUGCAUCUUGUAUCUUGUUUUACUAUGUUUCCUAUCUUUUGAGGCAAUUAAACGUUACUCAUGACAUGCUUGACUUUACUGCUUCAUGAUUUCAAAUCCAUGAUUGGGAUGCACACAUUUGCGAUUAUUUCGGUGUCUUCCCUUUUAUCCUUGUAUUUAUUUGGCAUGAUAAAAGUGUCACUUUUCAAACUCCGUUUAUGUGCACUCACUGUAUGUCAUGCCUUUAAACAUGUUAAAUUUAUGGGUGGCCAAAGGAGUGAAAAAGGAUCGAGGGCGAGGGGUUAAGCAACUCCCAACUCAAGGGAGUGAUUAUAGAGCGAUUGCUGGACUGAACCAAAACCCUAGAAAUGAAGGAAAACAAUCACGUAGCUACGCUUUUGACCAUACGAUCGAUGUCCUAGAACGGUUGGUUGAGUACCAAAGCCCUAGACCAAUAAGCCAACCUAAGAAUCAAGAAAUGUGUGAAAAUGGAAUGAUCCUUGAAGAUCGCCUAUCUAUGCUUCACGGAGAACCUACUUUCGAAAUAGUAAGAUUGAUUUGAAAGGAUACAAUAAGGCACUAGUGAGAGUAAGAGGUUAUGAUUUCUUCUCAAACAACUUUGUAGAUAAGUAUUGGAAAGUGAACUAAGACAUGGAACCUCCAUAUUAAAGAAUAAGGCCCCGUAUCUUGUUGUGUUUGUAAAUGAUGUUAGUAAUCUCGUGGAAACCUAAGAACUUGCCCGUAUUAAGCAGAGAAUAGUUAAUAUUUAUAUGCCGGGGUAACCUAUAAGCGAAAGAAUGCAAGAGUAAUAUGGCUCGAGAUUCCAUUAUGAAUAGCUACUCAUUUUGAUCCUUUGAUUUGUCUGGCAGGUUAGCAUUUAACUUAAAUCAAUUGGUAAGAUGACAACUUUGGAAGAAAUGCGUAAAGAGAUGAACAAUCUUCGAAAUGAUGUAGAAUUUCAAAAGAAAUUGGCUGACUAUUGGGAAGGACGAUGGAAACAAGAAUAUGCAGAUAAAACUGAAUUACUACCCCAGAAUAUAGAAUUGGAGAAGAAAUAAAAAGAAAAUCCUCAAACUGGCCAAGCCGCCGUUUCUCAUGCAAAUUGUAGAUACUGCGGCAAGAUUAACCAUACUGAGACCGAGUGCUGGAAAAGCAAGGAAAGUGUCUGGGGUGCGGUAGUACCGAACAUAAGAUUUCGAAUUGCCCUAGAGCAUCUAAAAGGAGGAAAUGCUCAGCGGCCAGUUAGAGUGGGGAUAAAUAACUUCAUUCGAGGGGUAGAGGUUGUAGUUUUACCCUAAACUAGAUUGGCACAUCUGCAGACUUAAUUUUUUGCCUAAGGGAAAGUCUUUUGUUAUUUAGUAUCUUGGCAACUUGGCACGUUUUGCUAUAAUCUUGUUGUUUCCCUUUCUCUUUUGAAAUGGUUUGAUAAACUUAUCCCAACUUGAUGUACUUAUUAUGAUCUUUAUGACAUAUGAAACUUUGCUCCGCUUUUGAUUGAUUUUAUGACUUACAUAUGUGACGGCCCCACCUCCCCCUAAGGCGAACCAGAGGGUUCGGCGGGCCGCCUGCCCAGCUCUCGCCGGGACUCAAAAUUUCAAAACAAUAAAAUUAGAUAAACCCACAAGCAUACUAUUCACAAUAUAUCUAACGCCAAAAGAGUUCUAUUUACGUCUUCAAAAGUAUCGAGUCAAACCACUCUAAUACAUUAAAAUAACAACCAGCAGAAGGUAGACCCUAUGGAGGGUUCUUAUACAAACCACCAAAACAAAACAAACAUCCCAACUGUCCGACUGUUACAAUCAAACCUAACUAUACUAGUGUAUGUGUCAAAAGUCCCCGCAUCGGCCCCUGCUAAGGAAAACAAAAGGAAAGGGGUAAGCUAUAUGCUUAGUAAGUAAACAGGGGCAAAAGCAUAAAUUCCACGUAACAACAGUUACAUAGUAAGAGUAAAGCAAAAGCAGAAAAGUAACAUCACAUAAUAAGGAUACAGGUGGCUCCAAAGCCAAGUCAUUUGCCAUGCGUGAUCUCCUGUCGACACUCCGUCGACCAUAAAUAAGGUCCGUAGAACUCCACUUGUACACCCACCGAACACCUUAUCACCCUCACUGGCCAGUCACCUCACAAACUUGCCCGAGCGAACGAAAUCACAAACUUGAGCUUGAGUCACAAGCUCGAGUCACAAACUUGGUCCACAUUCUCGGUGAACCGGAUUCACAAACUUGGUGACCUCAGACUAAGUUGGGAUUCACAAUUUCAUUUUAAGAUAUUUUCUUGGGAAUAAAAUGAAAAACUAGAAAGGAAAGAGAAAAACCCAAAAUUAAAAGAAUUGAAAGGCUAAAAAAAUUGUAUUUUAGGAAAGUGAUUUGAAUAUUUUUUUAAUCAUUUAAGGAGAAGAUAGAUCUCUGCAAUUCCUUUUUUUUAAUUUCAAUCAUUAAGGUGAAGAUUUUUGUGGGAAAGAGGAAGAAUUACAUAAAGAAGAAAAAGAAAAAGAAAUAAAAGAAAGGAAAACAAGGUAAAUGAAAAAUCAAAAUAAUGCAAGGGCAAUUUUGUCCUAAAGGGGGUUAAGUGAGCAAAAUUAAAGGUUAGGGGGUAAACUGAAAAAUAGGAUAUUCUUUAAGGGUUAAAAUGUGAUUAACCCUAAUAAGAAUCCUUCCUGAAACAGUUCCUUUCCUAUCUGUUAAUAAAAGUUGUUUAAUUGUUUACCUGGAAAGGCCCUCAAAGAAAAACGAAAAAUAACUGUAACGAAACAAACUAAAAUUUCAGUUAAUUAUUCCUUUCACACUAUUGGUUCUCUUUUCUGGUUGCAAAAAAAAAAAUGAAUUUUUCAUAUAUUUGGUUACUUAUAAAUCUCUGUACUCAACACAGAGAAUAAAAUUUAUAAUUUCAAAUUGCAGAAUUCAGCCUUCACUUUUUAUUCUCCUUUUUAGGUGAUAUUAUUGAUGCAUGCACUCACUUGGUAGGGCCUUAAUUUAGGGUAUGAUAAUUAAAUUCCUGGUUAAUGAUCAUGUAUGCAGUCUUCCUAUUCAUUCAACAAAAGAAGGGUUGAAAAGUGAAUAUUGAAUUCUCAUAAGUGGUGCAAAGCAUCACUACUUGGAAAUGGACCUCCAAUUCAAUAUGUAGAACGAAUGUGGCCGAAAAAUAUUUGUUCUGUCUUUCAAAAAUAUGUUGGGCAUUCAAUUAAAAGUGCGCACUAGCUAAAUACCAAGCAUCUUCCGAGUACAAUCUCUUCCAUCUUUGUUGGGAAAAAAGCUGGGCUAGCCCCAACCUUGUUCAUUUUGCCCCAAAAAAAAGUCCGAUGAACCUUAUAUUUAAUAGGAUCAAGCAGAGUUUGGACCUAAUCAUAUGCCCGAAUUCAAUAUGAGUAAGUCUGGAUUUUAUUAGGCUCAAAUCCAAUUAAUACCUGAUCCGUGUAUAUAAGAUAUAUCUUUUUCUUUUGUGUAUAUAAUUAUGCAUAUUAUAAUAUAAAAUAUUAAUUAUAUAUAUAUUUCCAUUUAUAAUGAUUCAUAAAUAAAGUAUAUAUCAUACUUAUUUGUUAGUUUGGAUCUAGUCCAAUUUGAGUCUGAAGCAUGUAUUGAAGUGUGAGCUGAGAUUGUGCCUCUCAACUUAGGUCCGAACCCGAUAGAUAAAUGAUGUAUCUUAACAUUUAUCAAUACUAGGCAGUGUAAUUGCAGACAAAUAGAAGAAAUAAUAAUUAUCACAAAAAGCAAUAAUGCAUCCUCUUGGAGUUUAUUAUUGAUAAAUGAUGUAUCUAAACGUACCACUGGUCAACUUCUCGCUUGAGUAACACUAAGCUACCGAUGUGAUGGCUGGUCUGCUGCACGGUCAUCUUUGGCUACUAAGCUAGUCAAUUGGUUGUCUUGCUUGCUUGUUGGGUAUCAAUGGUGUACAGACUUGUACGCGUUGAGAAUUUUGAACGCUUAGGAAUACGAGCCCGGCUUAGCCUCCAAGUCAUGCUGUGGGUCAUGGAGUAUAGUAAAGAAGUGAACCGUGACACGUACUGGAGACUAUAAUAUCAUAGGACCUAUUUAGCAAAUGAAUUUUCGUCCAAGUUUGUCUCCUACCAUCUCAAUCCAACACCAACUCCGUCAUUGGCCACUACCUCAGUCGUUGGUUCUGGCGCUAGCAUUCCUUUUUUUUUUCUUCCUUUUCUCCCUCUUCUCUCCCCCUAUUCUGCCACCUUCCUCUUUUGCCCGAUCUUGGAGUAAGGUCGGAAACCUUCCAAUUGCCAUGUCCUCCUUGUAUCCUAGAGAUUCCUAGGAAGCAAUAAUUCCCAAAUCCAAUUUCAUUGAAUCGUUUGUCUAUGUCAAUGUACUUCAGUUGCGAUGCACUUUCGAUUUUCUUAGGAAUAUGGCAAAUAAAAGAGAGUAAGGCAAGAGGGACUGGGAGAGAGAUGUCGGUAGGUUUGGUCUAAGAGGAGGAAUCUAUCUUCUACAGCUACUGCUGCUAUUGCUCUCUGGAUCUCUCUAUCCAGUGGAAAAAUGGACGCAGGGACUGCGGCCUAGUGAGGUGGCGGUGGUGAGAGAGAGAGAGAGAGAGAGAGAGAGAGAGAGGAGAGCGCGUUUUUGUAUCAUUGAUAGAUAGGUUAAAGUAGAAGGGGAAAGGGGAGUAGAGGGGGAGAGUGAUGGGGGAGGGCGAGGGCGAGGGGAAGAGGGGGAGAGGGAGAGGGAGAAAAGAAAAGGGGAAAAAAAGAAAGAAGGCCUGGUCUGUUGUUCCAGCAAGGAGGGAAAGGGAGAGGGGGAAGGAAGAAGAAGAAGAGAGGAAAGAAAAGGAAAAGGAAAAUAUCUCCGAAUUAGAGGAGAUAUUACAUUAGAUAGGCUUGGCUUUCCCAGUUUUCGUAGAAGUAAAAACUAAAGGCUUUGUUCGUGGUUCCUGUAGGUUCUUUGUUUUUUUGGGCAUGUAUCCUUGAGGUUAGGCUUAGUACCCCCAUCUGGAUAAGUCGAUCCGAGGGUCAAGCGAUCCGAGCUUAGAUCCAUUUGAGAAAGUCCUCGGAUCAGCCACAAUCCGAGCUCGGAUCCAAGGCCUCGGAUCUGCCUCUCUCCUCUGCAAGUGACUCAGUUGUUUUUCUUUCUUUUCACACUACUUUCUAGCUAUAUUUGGUAAGAGAAUUCGGUGGCACAUGCUUUCUGAUGCAAAAAAGAGGACAAUAUGAUUUAUCGUCAAGUCAAAAACUAUUGCUUUUGACUUUCUUAACAAGAUUGAGAAUUGAGAAUCAUGAGAAGGUGGAACCUUUUCCACCAGCUUUUAUGCAGAGCAACAAAGGAGAGGUGAGACAUCAUACGAAAGCUAACAUUUUCUUGUAGACAAUUCUCUCUAGCUAGAAAAUCUUGCAAAAAUACUUGGAGACUUCACUUUGUAAUCAUCUAGUGCAAGACAUAGCAGAAUUUUGGGGGUUUCACCAUUAACUUGGCUAAGCUUUCUUUCUCCUUUUGUGUACUUGUAACUUGUGAUGUUUUCCAUUAAUAAAGUUAUGAGUUUGAUUGCUAUAUAAUUCAUGAGUAGCUAAAUUUCUAUAUCUAGGGAGUAAAUGAAUCUCAUGGCCAAGUGAUAUAAAUUGAAUAAUGAUAGAGCGGUUAUUUUGCACACUUUGCACUAUUAUUUUGUCCUAAUUAUGGCUACUCAUGAUGCUAAGAAUUGAGAUUUUGCUCAUAUUUGAUAUUUGUGUGAAUUGCAGGUGGUUGGCGUUAAAAGUAAUCUUUUGAGGUAAAUUUCCAGAAGACCCUUUAUUUCAGGACGUGCCCACGCCAGAAACUGAGGAGACUCACCUAAAAACCGAACCUGCGGGCUUGGCAGCAUCAGAGCCAACUAGGAAACUAGGUCCACGUGGACCAGCUGCAUGGGAUUAAAACCCCAAAAAAGAAAAGCUUUGCUCCUGGGUGGAUUUCUCCUGGCGGUGGCUACUGAAGAUAUAAGAAGGGCCAGAUUCACGUGCAAUUGAUACUUUUAACUUUUUAGUUUUCAUUAGGGAGUCAGACGUUCUUUUUCUUUUCCGCAGCAAAUAGAAGAAAAGGCCAGAUUCACGCGAAAUCAAUUAGAUUAGUUCUUAGUUUUUCUUUUUCGGUCAGACGUGGUCGACUUUUCUCUGGCUCUUGGGGGAUCUACACGAUUUAGAUAGCUUCCGCUUUUCACUUCAUUUUUCCUGCUUUUGGUUUGGACGACUCUCUCUUGGAGACUUUUGCUUUUCACCUUUUCAAAUCAGACACGAAACGAGGGACGAAGCGAGGACUUUCUCUGUUGUCUCUUCGUUAAUUCAUCGUUUCCAAUUCUUUGGCAAUUGUGAGGAUGAAAUUAAUCAAAUCACGCGAGAUUAAUGCGAUGAGGAGCGGCUAAUUUUCUCCUCUACCCAAAGGUUGACGCGAGGGCGUGGUCCAUAACAUCUGUCAUUUGUGAGAUCUAAUCGAAUUUUUAUUAUUUCUUCCAAUUUGUUGCUAUUCAUGCAUUUCCUGGAUUAAUUGUUCAUGGGUAUUUUAUUAAUUGGACAUCAACAGCAAGGUAUUUGAUUUAAUUUAAUAUCCUACUGUCACAUUAACUAAAUUGAAUCCGUAAUUGUUCGUUUAGUUGAUACCUAGUGACAACCACCAUAAUUGGAUUUAUGUUGGGGAAAUGUAAGAUCUAAUUUAAAUAAACCCUCUUAGCGUGUUUAUCGGUUGGAGUUGGGUUCUUCUAGUUUUAAUCCAACUGGAUAAUUAAAUUCCUACGGUCGUACCUAGGGUUGUUUUCUGGUUAGAAAAGCAAUCAAUGGUCGUACCUUGACUGUCGAAAAAGUAAAGAAGAACUGGUUGUCAGAGCUUGUUGAUAGCUAUAACCAACCUAGUGACGGAUGAAUGAAAUAUCUUUGCAUCGAUGAUAAUUUAAUUGGACCGUGCCUGAGCAGUUGAUCCUUUGGAUAGAAUUUUAUUAAUUGCUAUUUUUACUAAAUUGAACUUGUUGAGUUAGCUCUUGAAUUUUAUUUAUUUUAUUUUUAUUUUCAUCCUAUUAAUUAUCCCCCUAUUUUAUUCUAUUGACUUGGAAAGAAACAAUUGUCUAUCCGUUUCCUGUGGAAUCGACCCUACUUGUCAUUGUAUGCAAAUUUAAUACUUUUAUAGACAAUUCUGGUAUAUCGGAUCAAACAAACUCUUCGGGAAUAGGGUGAAUCAAGUAGCUCAUUGCACACCUAGAGUCCUUACUCCAGUACUCAGAUUUGUACUAUAAUCAAUUGUGGUGGUAAUUAGGACUUUUUAGUAAUUAUUAUUGCACAGGUUCGGCACCUAUCAAUUUUUGGCGCCGUUGCCGGGGAGCAGUGUUUUGGUUAAUUUUGUUUCUUUCUAAGUUGUUCUCUUUGAAUUUGUCUAGCAUUUUUCUGGUUUAUGCCUCGUUCUUCUCGUACAUGUGAAUUGAUUUUUAUCCCAGAAGUAGAGAAGACUGCGCGCCAAACUAGGAAAGAGACUAGACAAUUCAGGGAGGAGCAAUUUAACACUGUAUCUCAGAGAUUGGAUCCAGAUGUUGAGUCAACAAAUUUGAGUUGUGAAAAUUUAAAUGACCCAAGCCAAGAGGACAUCCCUAUGGCGAAUGCAAGAACACUAAGGGAGUUGGCUGCUCCAGAAUUACCCCAGCAGCCUUUGUGCAUCACAUUCCCAACUUUUGCUGAAAAUACCUCAUUCGAAUUGAAGUCAGGAUUAAUUCACCUCCUACCCACGUUCCACGGCCUCUCAGGUGAAGAGCCCUAUAAACACAUCCAGGAGUUCGAUGCGGUAUGCUCUAGUAUGAAGCCUUCAGAAAUUACUGAGGAGCAGAUCAAACUCAGGGCCCUUCCUUUCUCCCUCAAGGAUGCAGCGAAAGAUUGGCUGUACUACCUACCUGCAGGUAGUAUCACCACAUGGGCCCAAUUUAAGAAGAAAUUUUUGAAAAACUUCUUCCCUGCGUCCCGGGCUGCGAUUCUAAGAAAAGAGAUGUGCGGCAUUAAGCAGUACCCUGGAGAAUCCCUAUACGACUAUUGGGAGAAGUUCAAUAAGUUGUACGCUAGAUGCCCACAGCAUCAAAUUAGUGAACAACUAUUGAUCCAAUACUUCUAUGAGGGCCUCCAGUCGUCUGAUAGGAGUAUCAUUGAUGCCGCAAGUAGGGAGCAUUGGUGAACAAGACACCAAGGGAAGCAUGGCUACUCAUUGAAUCGAUUGCAGAGAAUUCUCAACAAUUUGGUUUCCGUGAGAGUAACCCUACUCGUAGGGUUAAUGAGGUGGAGACAUCGUCCAUUCAGCAGCAGCUAUCGGAGCUAACUUCCUUCUUUCGACAAUUAGCUGUGGGGAACGUGCACCAAGCAAAGGUCUGUGGAAUCUACACAAAUUUGGGCCACCCCACCGACUCAUGCCCUAUGUUGCAAGAUGAGGGGGCUGAACAAAUGAACAUGGUUGGAGGCGUGCCCGCGCCUCGAAAAUCGUACGAUCCAUACUCAAACACGUACAAUCAGGGGUGGAGAGACCACCCCAAUUUCAGCUAUGGGAAUAGGCCACAAAAUUCAUUGUCCAAUCGUCCACCCGGAUUCCAGCAACCAUGGCAACCAAAGCCACAACCUUCGUCAUCUAACUCAGGAAGUUCUUUGGAGGAUAUUGUCAAGAGCCUGGCCACGAGCAUUACUCAAUUCCAGCAGGAGACCAGAGCGGGCAUGAAAAAUCUGGAGAUUCAAAUAAGUCACAUGGCAACCGCGAUUAAUCGCUUGGAGUCCCAAGUUUUUGGAAAAUUACAAUCACAACCCGAGGCAAAUCUCAGGAAUGUAAGUGCCAUGACAUUAAGGAGUGGCAAAGAGGUGGAGGGAUUUAAGUUGGUAAAUUCAAAAAGCAAAAGUGAUGAGGAGAUUGAAGAAGAAGGGCGCAUUCGCGAAGAUCCUAAGGUAAAAUUUACUCUUUCAACUCCUAUUAAAUCUAACUUACCUCCUUUUCCUUGCAAGUUGGAAAAGACAAAGAAGCAAAAUAAGGAAAAGGAGAUUUUAGAGGUGUUUCGAAAGGUGGCAAUCAAUAUCUCUUUGUUGAACGCGAUCAAGCAAGUGCCAAAAUACGCUCAAUUCUUGAAAAACUUGUGCAUCAACAAGAAGAAGUUGAGGGGGGAUGAACAGAUUGUGGUAGGUAAGAACGUUUCAGUGAUUUUACAAAGGAAACUACCACCUAAAUGCGGAGAUCCAGGUAUGUUUACUAUCCCUGUAAGAUUAGAUGUUUUAAUAUUGAAAAUGCCAUGCUAGAUUUAGGGGCCUCUAUUAAUGUGAAGCCUAAAUCAAUUUAUGAUUUCCUAAAUUUAGGACCUUUAAAGGAAACAGGAAUAAUAAUUCAAUUGGCUGAUCGUACAUUUACUUAUCCGGAUGGAAUAGUUGAUGAUGUUUUAGUGCAAGUAGAUGGAUUAAUUUUUCCUGCUGAUUUUUAUGUGCUUUACAUGGAUGAUAGAAGUGCCCCAAAUCUAUCAUCCAUUAUAUUAGGAAGGUCAUUCUUGAGUACUACCUAAACUAAGAUUGAGGUUAGUAAGGGUACUCUCACGAUGGAAUUUGAUGGAGAAACAGUCCACUUUAAUAUUUUUGAUACAAUGAAAUAUCCUGUUAACUCUCAUUCUGUGUUUGCUAUUCAUGCUACUGAUCCCUCUAUGCAAGAAUUUUCUGAGUUUACUUGUAGGAGUAAAUUCAAAGUUGCUGCGAACAAGUGUCAUGGAAUAAAAGCAAUUCAUGAGGUGAAAAUAGGUAGAAAAUUAAAGAAAAAUGUUGCAUUCAAUGGCUAUUUGGAUCCUGGAGGGGGGCCACAGAUUAGAAGGAAAAUUGAAUUACAUCCAGACUGAAGAGCGGUGUAUAGUAUCUAGCCAAAGACAUUAAAGAAAGGCGCUACUUGGAAGGCAAUCCAAGGAUUUCAAUUGUUUUUUAUUUCAUAUUUGUGUGUUCAAGAUCAGUGGGUUUAGGUUCCUAUUGACAAACAAUCUUUAUUGUAGGUCAUGGGUGUUUCUGCAUAGUUUUAUUCUAGGUUGGGGGCAAAAAUUUGUGGGCAGAAGACUUCAUGUUACAAGGCGUGCCCGCGCCUUGUAUUCACUGCACAUGGAUAUUUGUAAAAUUUGGUGAACAGAAGACCUCGCCCUCCAAGGCGUGCCCAUGCCUUCCAACCUUUGCAACAAUAAAAGUCAAAAAAAUUGACCAGAACCUUCUCUAACCCCACUUUUCUACUUUUCUCUUUUUUUGUCUUGUCUGGUCUUUUCAAUUUCCUCUGUCUUAGUUUCUACUUUUCAAUUUCUUUUGUUUUGUCUUAGUUUCAGUUCCUUCGUUUCCUCUUUUCUUGUUAGUCCGCCGUGCACAGCACGUCGUCGUGGCGUGCUCCUCUUACCAUGCUCCUCCUGCUAGGGAUUCCCAAUACCGUGCCCUCCAAGACUCUAUCUAUGACUUGGGGGACCAAGUUGAGGGACUAGGUGCUCGCCUUGCAGCGAUGCAGGUUUUCGCCCGUAUUCAAGCAAAGAAUCAAGCUGCUUUCUUUGCUCAUAUUGGAUUCACUCCACCUCAUCCUUCUCAGCCUUAGUGUCUUGCUGCACCCUCUCGGUGGUCAGGGAAGUUUCUCUUUUUUUCUCAUAAUACUUCAUUUGUCUUUUCUACAUUGAGGGCAAUGUAAGUUUUAGGUGUGGGGGAGUGGUUCCCAUAAUUGUAGGUGGUUUCUAUUAUUUCUUUUGGCUGUGGUACACAAAAAAAAAAUGAAAAAAAAUGAAAAAUAGAAAACAGAAAAAUGAAGAAAUGAUGAAAACCCUCUGUCUUAGGCUUGCUGUUCGUUUCUAUGUUUGUUAGUGUUGGAGUGUGUUGCUAUGAUGGAUUAUACAAUCAUGGUGCACAGGUAUGUGGUCAAAUAUGCUAGCUGGGCAUUUUGUUUUUCUUGGGCAAUAUCGUUGAAUGUUGAGUGUGCUGGACUUGACCCAUUCUUGUAACUUUAGGGAGCUUUUGAGCCAUGCAUGAGCACAUUAUUCUUGUUUGCUCUAUUUUUGUUUUGAGUGGGUAUCACAUAUGGUAUUGGCAUUCUAGAAUUUGCUAUUUUAUACAUGUCGAGACCACAUUUUGUUGAACUGGAUGCAUUUGAAAUGAUAAGGGCAUUUAGGAUCUAACCCUCUUUAACUUUUUACAAACUAUGCCUUCAUCUUGUCUCCUAAUAGUGAACCAAUUUGAGCCUUUAUCCUUCUAUUUUGUUUCUUAGCCGUGUUUAAUAACCCAUGACCUUUUAGACUUUCUUGCUCAACCUUGUGUUAUUAAGGGAUGUCUGAAAUUCAUUACUUAUGCAAGGCAAAUAAAUCUAUGGUCGCAAGUGUUGUCAGAAUAGAUGCUGUAUGGUGCUGUUUUUGUACAUCUGAGAUCGAAAGAAAAGAAAAGAAAAAAAAAGAGAAAAAAGAAAAAAGAAGGGUAGAAAUUGUCAAUAAGAUGGUGAACAGCAGACUCUGGCUUAGAGGGCGUGUCCACGCCUUGCAAGCCGCCUGUUAAAAAAAAAACAGAGAGAAAAUUUUGGCGACUCUUGCACAGUGGGUACAACAAGUGAAACUGUCUUGUUAGUGAAUUUCUUCUGGUGAAGCAUUGUGGAUAUGUGGUGGAUAUCGGACAUUCUCUUGACACAUUACACCUUAUCUUCACCUUCUUAUCCCGCCUUUUACCUAAACCCCAUUACAACCCUAUUAAAGUCCCUUUGAUUUGUGUAUUUAGUUCACUUUUCGGUGGUGGAGAUAUGAUAAAUGUACGAGCCUAUGGUAAUUCCAUUCCGUGAUGUUGAUUUGAGCGUUCCUAGUAUUCAUACAUUUUCUUGCAGGUAACGUGUAAUACUGUUCAUAUUCUUUGGAUAACUAUCUGUCUGGUAUGUUCUAAUUUGGCGAUAUUGUCGGGAAUGCGGGAUGUUUGUGUUAGUAUAGAUGACUAUGAAACCAUUGCUAUCUUGAUUUUGCUUUUGAGUUUCGAAAUGUUUGAGGGCAAGUAUUGUCUAGGUGUGGGGGGAUUUGAUAGUGCGGUUAUUUUGCAUACUUUGCAUUAUUAUUUUGUCCUAAUUAUGGCUACUCAUGAUGCUAAGAAUUGAGAUUUUACUCAUACUUGAUAUUUGUGUGAAUUGCAGGUGGUUGGCGUUAAAAAUAAUCUUUUGAGGCAAAUUUCCAGAAGACCCUUUAUUUCAGGGCGUGCCCACGCCAGAAACUGAGGAGACUCACCUAAAAGCUGGACCCGCGGGCUUGGCAGCAUCAGAGCCAACUAGGAAACUAUGUCCACAUGGACCAGCUGCAUGGGAUUAAAACCCCAAAAAAGAAAAGCUUUGCUCCUGGGUGAAUUUCUCCUGGCGGCGGUUACUGAAGAUAAAAGAAGGGCCAGAUUCACGUGCAAUUGAUACUUUUAACUUUUUAGUUUUCAUUAGGGAGUCAGACGUUCUCUUUCUUUUCCGCAGCAAAUAGAAGAAAAGGCCAGAGUCACGCGAAAUCAAUUAGAUUGGUUCUUAGUUUUUCUUUUUCGGUCAGACGUGGUAGACUUUUCUCUGGCUCUUGGGGGGUCUACACGAUUUAGAUAGCUUCCGCUUUUCACUUCAUUUUUCCUGCUUUUGGUUUGGAUGACUCUCUCUUGGAGACUUUUGCUUUUCACCUUUUCAAAUCAGACAUGAAAUGAGGGACGAAGCGAGGAUUUUCUCUGUUGUCUCUUCGUUAAUUCAUCGUUUCCAAUUCUUUGGCAAUUGUGAGGAUAAAAUUAAUCAAAUCACGCGAGAUUAAUGCGAUGAGGAGCAGCUAGUUUUCUUCUCUACCCAAAGGUUGACGCGAGGGCGCAGUCCACAACAUCUGUGAGAUCUAAUCGAAUUUUUAUUAUUUUUUCCAAUUUGUUGCUAUUCGUACGUUUCCUGGAUUAAUUGUUCAUGGGUAUUUUAUUAAUUGGAUAUCAACGGCCGGGUAUUUGAUUUAAUUUAAUAACCUACUGUCACAUUAAUUAAAUUGAAUCCGUAAUUGUUCGUUUAGUUGAUACCUAGUGACAACCACCAUAAUUGGAUUUAUGUUUGGGAAACGGAAGAUCUAAUUUAAAUAAACCCUCUUAGCAUGUUUAUUGGUUAGGGUUGGGUUCUUUUAGUUUUAAUGCAACUGGAUAAUUAAAUUCCUACGGUCGUACCUAGGGUUAUUUUCUGGUUAGAGAAGCAGUCAAUGGUCGUACCUUGACUGUCGAAAAAGUAAGGAAGAAUUGGUUGUCAGAGCUUGUUGAUAGCUAUAACCAACCUAGUGACGGAUGAAUGAAAUAUCUUUGCAUCGAUGAUCAUUUAAUUGGACCGUGCCUGAGCAGUUGAUCCUUUGGGUAGAAUUUUAUUAAUUGCUAUUUUCACUAAAUUGAACUUGUUGAGUUAGCUCUUGAAUUUUAUUUAUUUUAUUUUUAUUUUCAUCCUAUUAAUUAUCCCCCUAUUUUAUUCUGUUGACUUGGAAAGAAACAAUUGUCUAUCCAUUCCCUGUGGAAUCGACCCUAUUUGCCAUUGUAUGCAAAUUUAAUACUUUUAUAGACAAUUCUGGUAUAUCGGAUCAAGCAAACUCUUCGGAAAUAGGGUGAAUCAAGUAACCCAUUGCACACGUAGAGUCCCUGUUCCAGUACUCAGAUUUGUUCUAUAAUCAAUUGUGGUGGUAAUUAGGACUUUUUAGUAAUUAUUAUUGCACAGGUUCGGCACCUGUCAAAUGAAAUUUACACUUGUUGUAUCUUGUAUUAACUUGUCUUCUUGUGCAUGUUGAUUACUUGUUGUUGUUUGAUCAUCAAUAGCAGGUUUAUAGUUGUUAUUACUCAAUGAGAAUUGGUAAUAACAACGGAAUAACAUGAGUAGAGUUUGAGUUGUAGGUUCAUGAGAAUAGAAAUACAUUCAAGUGGAUUAAAUUUACAUUUUAUGAAUGAAGUAAGAACAGAGUUAGUUAUUCAUCAAGAGAUUAGGAAAAACUAGGUUGUUCUAGACCAUUAUUAUCAUGAGAAUGAGAUUUUGGUACUUUUGGAAAUGAAUUUUUGGUUAAACAAGAGUAGUAACAAGUGCUAAAUUCAUUCAAUUGGAUUUUUUGUGCCAUAAGUGGAAUCUAUAUUCCUAGAUUCAAGUCUUUGGUGAAUUUUCUCCAUUUGUAACUUGGAAUUAUUAAAUUUGAUUGCAGGAAGUAGCAAAUAUAAUUUUUCUACUCAAUCUCAUUGUAAGUCUAAAUAAUAGAGGAAAUAAGGACCAAGUACUUGUAAAUAUUUCUUCUCGUGGGAUCGACCCAAUACAUGUGUACUUGCAGAUAAACUGGUAUAAAAUUGGAAUUAAACUUGCACUUUUAUCAAAAGUCCGACAGGUUUUUGGUGCCGUUGCCUGGGAGCGGCAAUAUUAAGACCUAAUCAUCUCUAUUAAUUUAGACAGCUAUAUUUUUACUAGUUAAACUGUUUAUAGUUAAUUCUACAUUUUAAUCAGUUUUUGACAAUUGAAACUGCAUAAUUUCUCUUAUUUCUGUUUUAGUGUAUGCACUGGGUAUUUCAGAAAGUUGAACCUUUUGAUCCUGAAAUUGAAAGGAUACUACGUAGAAAAAGGAGGCAUACACCGCAGCAAGAGGAACAAGAGGUUUGGCAACUGAUAGAGGAAAUUUUAAUAGAGCUACCAUUUGAAGAAGAGAUGGCAGAAAACGAAGCAAAGAGGCGAGCUCUACGAGAUUUUGCUCUACCAGGAGCACAAGGAUUUCAAACAAGCAUAGCAAGGCUUAUGGUAAAUGGUAACAAUUUUGAGAUUAAACCAUCACUUAUCCAAAUGGUUCAAUAAUAUCAAUUUAGAGGUAAUGCAGUAGAUGAUCCUAACUCACAUUUAGCUAUAUUCUUGAAAGUAUGUGAUACAAUUAAAAUGAAUGGAGUUAGUGAUGAUGCUAUAAGGCUAAGAUUGUUCCCAUUUUCAUUGAGAGAUAAGACAAAAAUUUGGUUACACUCUCAUGCUCCUAACACUUUUACCAAAUGGGAUGAUUUAUCAAGAACAUUUUUUAAUAAAUAUUUUUCACCGGGUAAGUCUGCUAAGUUAAAAAUGGAUAUCACUAGUUUUAGCCAAUUAAAGGGUGAAUCAUUAUAUGAGGCAUGAGAAAGAUUUAGAGAUUUGUUACGAACAUGUCCACAUCAUGGACUGCCCGAUUGGCUAAUCGUACAAACCUUCUAUAAUGGUUUAUCUUUUUCUACUAAAACUAUGAUUGAUGCAGUUGCAAGUAGGGCUUUAAUGGGUAAAUCACCCCAAGAAACUCAGAAUUUGAUAGAAGAAAUGGCCGUAAAUAACUACCAAUGGGCCAAUGAGAGAGGUAAUACAAGACGUCACGCAGGUAUGAUAGAAAUAGACACUCUCAAUAUGUUGAGUGCUCAAAUGAAUAAUGUGAUGAAAUUGCUAAUUAGACAAGGUAGAGUUGAUCCAAGUUCAUCUAAUGUACAUGUAGCUUGUUGCUCUAUAUGUGGAGGUGAACAUGAUGCUAAUGAAUGUGUUGAUUUUGAGCAGGUACAAUUUGUCAACAAUUACAAUCGUAAUGCUCAAAAUAAUCCCUACUCGAACACUUAUAAUCCGGGGUGGAAAAAUCAUCCAAAUUUUGGAUGGAAAAAUCAAGGCAAUCAACCAAGGCCAGCCAACCAACCGGAAUUCCAACCAAGGCAACCACAAGCUGAAACUAAACCAAGUUGGGAGAUUGCGGUGGAAAAACUCGCUAAGAUUACUUCGGACAGAUUUGAAAGAGUAGAAGGAAGAUUGAACCAACUUACUACAAUGUAUAGGAAUGUAGAGAUCCAAAUUGGUCAAAUUGCUAGUUCCUUGAACAAUAGAAAUCAAUGAGAAUUACCUAGCAAAACGGAAGUUAAUCCUAAGGAACAUGUCAAAGCCAUUACUCAUCUAGUGAUAAACAAUUAGAGGAUCCUCCUGUGAGUGAAUGUGAGAAAGAUGAGAGUGAAAAACAUGCAGAAAAGAGAAUGAAGCAAGAGGCAAUUGUGGAGGAAAAUAGUCGGGAGAAUCCAAGAGAAAAUCAACCAUCAUCUUCCGCUACCAUUCCGAUACUCCUGCAGCUCCAUUUCCCCAAAGACUUAAGCAGAAUAAGUUUUAUAAAGAUUUUGAAAAUUUUGUUAAAAUAUUCAAACAAUUGCACAUUAACAUUCCUUUUGCCGAUGCUAUUUUGUAGAUUCCUUCAUAUGCAAAAUUUCUCAAGAAAAUCAUGACUCGAAAGAGGAAGUUAGAAGACUGCGAAACAAUAGUAUUAACGGAGGAGUGCAGUGCCAUUAUACAAAAUAAGCUAGCACCGAAAUUGAAGGAUUCGAGGAGUUUUUUUAUACCUUGUACCAUAGGUAACAUUGAUUUCUCUAAAACAUUGUGUGAUCUUGGUGCUAGUGUAUCAUUAAUUCCUUUAACGGUGGCUAGACAAUUAGGUUUGCAUGAGUUUAAAUGCACUAAUAUUACUUUGCAACUAGCGGAUAGGUCUAUUAGAUAUCCAUUGGGAGUGUUAGAGAAUGUAUUGAUUAAAUUUCAAAAAUUUAUUACUCCAGUGAAUUUUGUGGUUUUAGAUAUGGAAGAAAAUAUAUCUAUGCCAAUUAUUUUAGGUAGACCAUUUCUAACUACUGCAGGUACUAUUAUUAAUGUUAAAAAUGGCAAGGUUAAGUUUCAAGUAGGUGAAGAAGAAGUAGAAUUUAAUUUGAAUGAAAUGAAAAAAUACCAUUCUUUUACUGAUCAUGCUUGUUCUGUUGGCACCAUUGAUAAACUAACUCAAGAAUAGAGUCGAAUCAAUUUUGAUUUCGACCUGCUUAAGCUUUGUUUAUUGAGUUUAGGUAUGCAAGAGGGAGAUUGUGAAGAGCUUGAAGAAGUGGCCAAGUAUUUGGAUUUUCAAGUACCAUAUAGAAGGAGUAAUGUUUAUGAAAGUUUUGGCCACAGUAAAGGGCUUCCAUCGCCUUCGAAAAUUGAACCUCCAAAAUUAGAGUUUAAACCACUACCAACUCAUCUAAGGUAUGAAUUUCUUAGAGAAAAUAACACUUUCCCAGUAAUCGUUAUGCUGACCUUAAUGAUGAGCAGUGUGCAAAGUUGUUAAGAGUUCUAAGAAGGCAUAAGAAGGCAAUUGGAUGGACAAUUUCAGACAUUAAAGGUAUAAGUCCUUCUAUAUGCAUGCACCAUAUUUUAUUGGAGGACAAUUGCAAACCAGUGGUAGAAACACAAAGACGACUAAAUCCAAACAUGAAAGAGGUGGUAAGAAAUGAAAUUCUUAAGUGGCUUGAUGCAGGUAUAAUCUUUCCUAUCUCCGAUAGCGUUUGGAUUAGUCCAAUUCAUGUUGUACCAAAAAAAGGUAGAAUAACUACAAUUGUGGGUAAAAAUGAUGAGAUGAUUUCAUCUAAACUUGUGGUUGGGUGGAGAGUGUGUAUCAAUUAUCGUAAAUUAAAUGCGGUAACAAGAAAAAAUCAUUUUCCUUUACCAUUUCUUGAUCAAUUAUUGGAGCGAAUAGCCAGAUACGAAUUUUAUUAUUUUCUUGAUGGUUUUUCAGGAUAUAACCAAAUAGCUAUAGCUCCGGAGGAUCAAGAGAAGACCAUAUUCACAUGUCCUUAUGGCACUUUUGCCUUUAGAAGGAUGUCAUUUGGUUUAUGCAACACUCCUGCGACUUUUCAACGUUGCAUGAUGGCUAUAUUUUCUGAUUAUAUUGAGAAAAUUAAGAAGAUAUUUAUGGAUGAUUUUUCUGUGUAUGGUUCAUCUUUUGACCAUUGUCUUCAUAAUUUAGAUUUGAUUUUGCAAAGAUUUGAAGAGACAAAUCUUGUACUAAAUUGGGAGAAAUGCCAUUUUAUGGUAAAAGAAGGAAUUGUUUUAGAACACAAGAUUUCCUCUAAGGGAAUUGAGGUGGAUAAAACAAAAAGUGAAGUCAUUGAACAAUUGCCACCUCUAAACAAUGUCAAGGGGAUAAGGAGUUUUCUAAGACAUGCCGGCUUUUAUAGGCGCUUUAUUAAGAAUUUUUCUAAAAUAGAAAGUCUUUGUAUGAUUUAUUAUGUAAAGACACCCCUUUUCAAUUUGAUGACAAUUGUUUGGUUGCUUUUGAAAGGUUGAAGAAGAAUUGAUUUCUGUUCCAAUUAUAACUUCGCCCGAUUGGUCACUACCAUUUGAAUUGAUCUGCGAUACAAGUGACUAUGCGGUUGGAGCAGUUUUAGGGCAAAAGAAAGAAGGAAGGUUGCACGUCAUCUAUUAUGUUAGCAAAUUGCUAAAUGAGGCACAACUCAAUUAUGCAAUAAAGGAAAAAGAGCUAUUGGCGGUGAUAUUUGCUUUAGACAAAUUUAGAUCCUAUUUAAUAGGAUCUAAAAUUAUCAUCUAUACGGAUCACUCAGCUCUCAAAUAUUUGCUACAUAAGAAAGACGCAAAAUUUAGACUAAUUCGGUGGAUUCUUUUGUUGCAGGAAUUUGAUGUAGAAAUAAAAGACAAAGAGGGAAUAGAGAAUCUCGUGGCGGAUUAUCUAUCAUACUUGGAAUAUAUCCCAGUCAACGACCAAGUUUCUAUCCAAGAAAAUUUUUCGGAUAAGUUUGUCCCAGUAAUUAUCAAUUUUUCAUGGUAUGCAAAUACUGCUAAUUAUUUGGUAAGUGGAGAGAUUCCAAAGGGAUUUAAUUAUCAUCAAAAGAAGAAAUUUUUGCAUGAUGUCAAAAGUUACUUUUGGGAAAAACCAUUGCUAUAUAGACAUUGUGCCGAUGGUAUUGUGUGCAGAUGUAUUCCCGAAGAUGAGGUACAUAAUAUUUUAUAUCACUGUCAUAAUCUUGAAACAGGUGGUCAUUUUAACACUUCAAAGACUGUAGUAAAGGUAUGGCAAUUAGGAUUUUAUUGGCCAACUAUGUACCGAGAUGUUAGGAAAUAUGUUAAAAGUUGUGAUGAAUGCGAAAGAACUGGAAAUAUAUCUCAAAAAAAUAAAAUGCCCCUAACUACUUUCUUAGAAGUUGAGUUAUUUGAUGUGUGGGGUAUAGAUUUUAUGGGACUAUUCCCUAGUUCUUUUAAUAAUAAGUACAUCUUAGUAGCAGUGGAUUAUAUUUCUAAAUGGGUAGAGGCAAUUGUUUCGCCUACUAAUGACUCUAAGGUUAUACUCCGGUUUCUUAAAAAGAACAUUGUUUACAGGUUUGGUAUACCUAAGACCAUAGUAAGUGAUAAAGAAAAAUAUUUCUGUAACAAACAACUGGACAAGCAGAGUUAGCAAAUCGAGAGAUAAAACUCAUCUUGGAGAAAAUCGUGAAUAAAUCAUGCAAGGAUUGGACUUCAAAGCUAGAUGAUGCACUAUGAGCUUACCGAACGGCAUUUAAGACACCCUUAGGGAUGUCGCCGUAUCGUUUAGUCUAUGGAAAAACUUGUCAUUUACCUGUAGAGAUUGAACAUAAAACUUAUUAGGCUAUUAAAGUAAUUAAUAUAGAUAUUAAUCUUGCAAAUGGAAGGAGACUACUUGAGUUAAGUGAAUUGGAGGAACACCGGCUACAUGCUUAUGAAAAUACCAAAAUUUAUAAAGAGAAGAUCAAAUAUUGGCAUAUAAGCAUAUUAUUCCUAAACAAUUUCAGGUAGGACAAAAAGUAAUUUUAUUCAACUCACGCUUGAGGUUAUUUCUAGGAAAACUGAAGUCAAGAUGGUCGGAACCAUUUGAAGUUACUCAAGUAUUUCUUUAUGAAACUGUUGAGGUGGCAAAUUCAAGAAAUGAAAGGUUUAAGGUCAAUGGACAACGAUUAAAACCCUACUGAGCGGCUAAAAUCGUUCCCAAGGGACUUAUAUGUCACUUGGGUGAUUCUUCUUCAAUUUGAGAAUUCAACCCUUGAGUCGAACCAACAACUAUAAACGAAAGCGCUAAUUGGGAGGUAACCCAAUUAUUUCUUUUGUUUUAAUGUGUUUUAAUUUGUGAGUUUUAUUAGUUGGUGUGAUUUUAAUGAUAAAAAUUGAUUUUGUAGGGUUUUCCGGUUCAAAGGAGUAUCUUUAAGGAUCAUAAGAGGUUCAACCCAAGAAAAAUGGAAGUUUUAUAUUGGAAUUUGUUUUAAGUGUUUUAAUGUUUUUAGUUCUAAUAUAAGUUAUGCAUUCUUAUGAUAUUCAAGUGAGUUUUGGUGAUAACAUGUUUGUAUAUGUUCAUUGACUCAUUUGAUAUGCAUUUCAUGUCUAAAGGUGCCAUUUUAGUGUAAAAGUGCCAAAAUGAUCAAAGAACCUCAACCCUCGAUUUGCAAUGUAGAUGUGUUUGAUGUGUUUAGCGAGUAUGGAUUUAAUGUUUAAGGUAUAUUACACUUGCGUGGGAUCUUGAAAGUGCUAAAAGUACAUCCAAAGUGUAAUUUGGAAUUUGCCGGAAAAGGGAGAAAAAAAUAAAAAAUUGCAGUUUCUGCAAUUAAUGCAGAAAACAGGCGAUCCGAGCUAGGAUCCGAAAAAUUUCAGACGGAUCCGAGGGCUCGUCUGUUCUUCUGGAGAGCUAGAUCUGAGCCAUCGGAUCCAAGGUCUGUUCAAACCAAUCCGUGCUCGGAUCGAUUCGGUUUCAAAGCAGAAACGCGGCCGCGGUUCCUUAUUUUUUCAGUUUUUUCCAUCUCCUCUUCACCGAACCCUAGCCCCUUUCCUCUAAUCUUCCAUUUUCUCCAUUAAUCUUCCAAUUUUUCACCAUAAAAACCUUCCCUAACCUCUUGUGAUCAUUUACCCCAAUUUCUUUCGCAUUAAACAUCAUCAAAGAAGGGUUUUGAUCUUCAAAAGAGGAAUUAGGGCCGAACUGUAUUUCUUCAAAUUAGGGGAGAAUUUGGGCUUGUUUCUUCUUAAUUUUUGACAUCAUUAACAUCCUCUAGCAUCACCCUACACAUUUGAGGUAACAUUUUUCAACUUUCUUUGAUAUUUUAUAAUUCCCAAUUUUCAAUUUUUUUCUCUUUUCUAUAUAUUUGGAAAAAGCAUUGUUGUUGAAAUUUUUUGUUGAAUUUGUGCUACAUUAUGCUAAUACAUGAUAUUAGAACUAUUUGUAUGCUUAGUAUUAAGGAAUUUGUGGAUAUGGUGAUAUUUUUAUUUUUGUAUUUUUUCUCAAUUAUUAGGCUAAAAUACAUUGUACUCUCUGGUUCGCGACUUGGCCAUUGGUGAGGCUUAGACAUCUACUCAGCCUCCACCUCAGCCUCAACCUGAGCCAAGUGGUCAAGAAUGAGGAAGUGAACAAGCUGGAGCAUCAGCCUCAAUUCCGGUUUCAUGACCACCACCUCCUCUGAGAUCCAAGUUGUGAGGACCCGUAAAUUUUCUCUAUUUCAUAAUAUUUUAUUGGGAAAAUCGUCCAAAACGUCCAUCACAUUUAGUAAAAUGACUUUUUUCGUCCCUCACUUUUAAAAGCGUAAUUUUAUGUCCCUUACAUAUUAACAUCGGUCAAAUUUAGUUCCUAACUAGGUUUCCGAUCAUUUUUUGGGCGGAAUCCAUCACGUGCAAGGCACGUGAUCAUUUUGUAAGGGUAAAUUUGUCAAAUUAUAUUUUACAUAAUCUAAUCUAUAGUCCUUCACAUUUUAUAAAACAAAUUUUUUCGUCCCUCACAUUUUAUAAAAUAAUUUUUUCAUCCCUCACAUUUCAUAAAAUGAAUUUCUCCAUCCCUCACAUUUCAAAAAAUGAAUAUUUCCAUCCCUCACUAAUUAUGCGUGUGAGGGAAACCCUAAAAAAAAUGUGUGUGAAUACAUUAUGUUUAAACACAUGUAUAUGUCUAUUUGAUUUUGCUUAAUAAUACGAAUAGCAUAAAUAUAUGUAUGUGUCUAUUUGAUUUCAUUUAACAAUACGAAUACCAUAUAUUAUACGUGAUCAUUUGAUUUCAUCUGGUAUUAGCUAGUAAAAAAUCUUGCAUUCAUUGUCAAGUUGGCCAAUAAAGCUAUUUUCGGUCAAAAUACAAUAAGAAAAAGCAAAUUAAGGUUCUAUUGGUAAAAUAUUAGUCAUAAUCAUACAAAAAGAGAAGAUAGCCCACAAGUUAGACCCAAUUACAUACAUGUGUUUAUGCUAUUAUUAUUAAGCAAAAUCAAAUAGAUAUAUACAUAUGUUUAAAAAAAAAUGUAUUCACACACAUAAUUAGUGAGAAAUGAAAAAUUCAUUUUUUGAAAUGUGAAAAAUGGAGAAAUUCAUUUUGUGAAAUGUGAGGGAUGAAAAAAAUCAUUUUAUAAAAUGUGAGCGACGAAAAAUUUUAUUUUAUAAAAUGUGGAGGACUAUAGAUCAGAUUAUGUAAAAUAUAAUUUGACAAAUUUACCCUUAAAAAAUGAUCACGUGCCUUGCACGUGAUGGAUUCCGGCCAAAAAAUGAUCGAAAACCUAGUUAGGGACUAAAUUUGACCGAUGUGAAUAUGUUAGGGACAUAAAAUUAUACUUUUAAAAGUGAGGGACGAAAAAAGUUAUUUUACAAAAUGUGAGGGACGUUUUGGACGAUUUUUCCUAUUUUAUUUUACUUUUGUUGCAUGUAUUUUCUUCAUUAAACCCUAUUAUAUUGAUUUUCUAGAGACUUUUAUGAGUGAGUAUAGGUUUUAAAUCAUUUUCAUAGUAUGAGUUCGUUCUUGAUAAGUUUGAAGUGCGUUGAAGACGUGGGACCCGCUAGUGCGCUAAGUGCGAUAAAUUUUUGUCGAUUAAUUGAAGUUUUGUAUAAGGAAUAUUACUGUACCAGGUGUUAGGAGACAAUUAGAGAUUAGUUAGAUAAAUUACCAUUGGUAGACAAAAAGGUAAGAUUAAACCCUAAAAAGGAGCCAAGUGUCACUAUGCUAUUAGAAGUUGGACUUUUGACCAAGGUUGGUAAUUUUACUAAAAUCAGAUUUUUGACCAAAAUUCAUUCAUUUUCUUGUCUCCUUUGGCCGAAAUUAGUGAGAGAGAAACUAAGAGGGUUUCUUCAACUUCAACUUCAAUUCUUGCUCCAAUCUUGAGUUUCAACCGUUGAAUUAUCAAAUUACUCCGUCAAAGUUGCUUACUAAGGAGGAUUAAAGCUUCUAGUGGAGGGAUUUGUGAAAGAAAAACCCUAAGCUAUCAUCUUUCUUGAAGUGUCAAGGUACCUUGCUUGGAAACUUCCUCUUUGUUCUUGCUAAUGUCAAAUUAGUGGGUUUUAGUGGCUAAAUAUGCUAUUUUAUGGAAGAUUUCAUGGAUUAAAGUGGAGUUACAUAAAUUUCUGAUUUUUUUGGAGAUUUUUCUGUUUUUAUAUGAUAGUUAUUGGUUGGCCAUGAAUGAUGGCUUGAGAUGGUGUAAAAUGAAGCUUUUAUAUGUUAGUUGUGGUUGUUUGCGGGAAAUUUCAGUUUUGUGCGGAAAUUUCAGUUUUAAGUUUCCAAUUUGCCCUGUCCUGCCCGGUUCUGUUUGACCAUGUUAGAGGCCGAAUGAGGCUUAGGUUAAAAUAUGAAAGUUAUAGAAAAUGAUGUUAACUAGCUGCCUGAAAAUUUUCAGCUCAAUCGGAGCACUGUAACCUUUGAAAUGACCGAAAUACCCUUGACUGCCCAUAAGCCCUGUUUCGCUGACAGUUUUCUGUCUUCGUGGAGAUUUCAAUUUUUGACUCUAAAAAUGAAUGAUUUAGCUUUGGAGGCCUUCAUAAUAAAUGUAGGUAUAUGUCUUGGCUUCGAAACUCCAUAAUAUACACCUCAAUUGGCUUCGGUAACUGGAGUUAUUGUCGUUUAAUCAUAGUACGGUUAACUAGUCUAAUUGUGAGAUGCUGGUUCUGUAAUUUGAAAUUUUGACCUAGAUACACUAUGAACUGGACUGAGUGGUCUUCAUCAAAUUUGUAGCCAUUUAUCUUAGCUUCGAAACGGUAUAAAUUGCACCCCAAUCCGAUAAGCGUAACUUCCAUUGUGUCUGUUCCGCUAAGCGACGUCAAAUCUAUUUUUUGUUUUCUGACUUAAACUGUGACGGCCCCACCUCCCCCUAAGGCGUACCAAAGGGUUCGGCGGGUCGCCUGCCUAGCUCUCGCCUGGACUCAGUCAUACCUCAAUCAAAUCUGAAAUAAAACCCCAAGAUCAAACGAAAUUAACAAUCCAAAACUUAAAGUGAAACUUAUAUACAUAACUGCCUUAAAAGGGAGUACAAACACCGAAUAUACAAAGGUUCUCAAUCCUUCAUACAUCCAGCCCGUGCCAAAAGGUAGGGCGAGAACCAUUACCAAAAUCAAAGAAACUAGUCUAGGCUAGUCUCUACCGAGCUCUCGUCCUUGCUCGCCUUCCCCUGCUAAGGAAAAAAAAACUAAAGGGAUGAGCUAAAAGUUCAGUGAGGUUCCGAACACAUAAUCAAAUAAUCAAUCCAGUUCAAGAAACAUUUACAAGGGAAAGCGAUAACAACACAUUAAUUAAAAGGAUACAGGCUCACAUGGAGCUAUUCGUUCGUUCGUUCGUUCGUUCAUUCUCCUGUCAUUCCCCUUAUUCCUCCAAUCAUUUAAAAAUGUAUUUUUGUAAGUAAAACCCCGGUUUGCAUUGACAUUCGUUCGUUCAUUUCAUUCACCCCCUCCUGGACGUUGGCCAGGCUCCACCCGACAACAAGGUAAUACUCGAGCAUACCAAACGUUCACACCCAGGGUCACCAUAUCGCCCGACCGAGUCCGCUUCUGGCUCGAGUCGAUCGGUAACGAAGGGCAGGGCCCAGUUCAACCAAAAGGUUUACAUCAUGCGCAACUAGCAUUUCAUUAUUUAAUCAUUGAAAAUUUCACAUUCAUUUAGGUCGAGUGCGAUAAAAUACACACUCACCUAGAAAACUCAUUUGAAGCAAUCAUUGAAAACAUUUAACAUGUUAUCAUUCGUUCAUAACAAAUCAUAUAAUCAAGAACAAGCCACAUAGUCAAUGAAAAUAUAACAAACAAGGAACACUCACCUAUUUAAGCAAAAUAACGUCCAAAGUUUCCUUCCGGAUACACCCUCAAUCACCUAGGUAUCCUAAUAUAAUCAAACGAACACAUUAUGCUUCAACCAUCAAGGAUGUAAGUGAGUCAAAGAAAAGUCGAAUACGUACUAGUACAAAGUAUAAAUAUGGUUUUGGUAGUGAAAAGAGUACAUUGAAACCAAAGGACAUAAGUAAAAUAUUUGUAAAACUUAGACUCACUUGUAAAACUUUAAAAUCACUAUUUGAGUCGAAGUGGAAAAGAAAACCUAAAUACCCUAGAUGGUUCAAGUGGUAUUCGCUCUCAAGCCUCACUCAAGUCGCAAGUAUAUCGACCUAGUUCUCGAGCGUAAAUUUGGGCAGCACGCCCUUUGUAUUUACCUAUUUUCCAGCCAUUUAUGACUUCAUUCUUUUCCUCAAUCAAACCCAAAGUCAUACACAAAAUCAUCUCAUUUCAAUAGCCAUUCCAUAGGCUCCAAGUCAUACAAGUACAAAAUCAAUCUAGGAGCAUGUGCGGAAAUGAAGUUUAGCAAAAGACAGAUUUGACGUUGUUUUGCGUAACGGACACAACCGAAGCUAUGCUUAUCAGAUUGGGGUAAAAUUUAUACCGUUUCGAAGCUAAGAUAAAGUCCUACAACUUUGAUGAAGAUGACUCAGUCCAGUUUAUAGUGUAUCUAAGUCAAAAUAUCAAAUUACAGAACCAGAUUCUCACACUCGGGCUAGUUAACCGCACUAUGCAUAAACUUCCAUAACUCAGGCUACCGAAGUCCAAACGAGAUGAUUCCAGGGGCGUUGGAAAGAUAAGACAUAGGACUACAAUUUCAUGUUUUAGCUAAAUGCUAGUUCAGUAUGUAUCAAGGUGAAAAGACACGAUCAGAUUGAUGAAAUGUCAAAACUGUCCAUUGAACUAAACCUAUGGUAGUCAAGGGUAUUUCGGUCUUUUCACAUGAUUCGUUGCUCUGAUUGAGCUAAAAUUUUGUAGGAAACUAUAAAACAUCAUUCUAUACAACUUUCAUGUUUUAUACUAAGCCUAAUUCGGCAUCUAACAUGGGGAACUAGAACCGGGAAGAACUGAAGCUUCAAUUUCUAGAAAUAUGGAAUUUUGCUACAUCAAGCUAUAAUUCACAUUUUUACCUUAAAACCACCACUACUUUCUCCUUUACAAGAUUAGAUACCAUAUAUAUACACCAUAUAACACCUAACCCACAAGAAAUAUGAGUGAAUAAAUCAAAACCCUAUCUCAAAAUUCAUCCCUCCAAUCAUCAAAAUCAUUUCAAACAAGCAUCACAAGCACAAUUCUAACAUUAAUACCCAACUUAAUCAUGAUUAAUGGAAAAGAAAGGGUGAUCAGCCACUAUACCUCAAGACAAGGCCUUGCAAGAGUGAUCCUCCACUACUCCUUGAAAUUUUUGGUUCCUUAAGCUUCCCAAACUUUCAAUUUGCAAGUUAAUCGGUUUAGUUUUCUUAUUUUCUCACUUAAGUGGAUCAAACUCAAGAUGGAUUAUGGUUUCUUUCUCUUGGCUUUUCCCUCUCUUUCUCACGGUUCAUAUGGCAGAAAUGGAGGCUGAAAUAAAGUGCAAUUGAAGCUUCAAGAAGGUUAAAAGGAUAGGAAUUGAUUUGGGUCAAAGUGGACAAAUGUCACCCUUGGAUUGGAAGUCAAUUUUUUUCCUUUUCUCCCUUAUUUUGGUCUACAAUUUCGGCUGACUUGAGCUGGUUUAAGAGCUGAUAUUUUGCACUAAUAUCAAGGCUAUUUUAUGAUAAGAAAGGGGUAGUCAAGUGGGGUGUUCAAUCGGUAGUGAACGGUAUCUGUCGGUUCAACCCGUUUUUCCUUAAAUUGCGUAUACUAGGGUUUUAACAUAUAAUUUACUAACUUAUUAUUACCACUUCUAAUCACACACUUAAUAUCAUCUAAAACUCACUCUUAAUUAUCAAAUUUGAUCCACACUCUGUACCGGAUAGUCACACCACGGAUAGGCAUAAAAACCCUAAUUGGCACUAACUUGAAUACGAAAAGGAAAAACCCUUAAUUCUAUAUUCAUUGGCACUUAUUGUGGGGUGAUUGGGUAGUAGGGCCAUUAUAAAGUAAUAAUUUUCAAAUAAAAGGGUAUUUGUAAGAAAAAUAUAAGGAAUUUUACGGGUCCUCACAUCGAUAAUGCGUUUCAAAUUUAACGCACACUAACUCAUACUAAGAAAAUGAAUUUAAAACUGUACUUGCUUGUAAAAAUGCAUAGAAAAUUCCAAGGAAAGUAUAAAAUGUAGGCAAAGGGAUACAAUAAUGCUGAGAAAAUGUGAAAUUUUUUUUUUGGGUUCUCACAUAAACUUCAUUUUCGGACAUUUUCCUAACUUGAAUCUGUACUUGUACGACUUUGAGCCUAUUGAACGGCUAUUGAAAUGAGAUUAUUUUGUGUGUGACUUUGGGACUGAUUGAGGAAAAGAAUGAAGUCAUAAAUGGCUGAAAAAUAGGUAAAUACAGAGGGCAUGCUGCCUAAAAUUUUAGGGCUACGCGAUUCCUUCAAGUUAAGUUGAUCUUGGUAAAAAUGAAGAGUUUUGGGAGUUGUUUGUAACCCUAGGACCAACUUGUAUCUUUUUGCUCAAAAGUCAUAUGUUAUUCUUUUGUACUAGUACUUAACCUGGGAAGGCAUACGACUUGUAGUCGAGUCUCAUUGAUACAUUCCAUUUACUGGGUGUAUGGAUGUGCGAACUAUAAUUGUUUAUCUUGGUUAUUUUAGGGUUUCUUGGCGAUUAAAGCCACUUUGGGAAAAAACUUUUGAAGUAUCUGUAUUGGAACUGGUGAGUGUACCACUCCCCUCAAUUGUUGCUUAACUUGGUUUCUGCGCCUGCAAUCUGUGAUUUGAAUGACUGUACUAUCUGUUUAUUCUGUUUGAGACGAGGGUGUACUUUAUCACACUCGUUCUCUUGUCUGUCUGUAUGCCUAUUUACUGUGUGUAAUCUGUUAUCUGUAUCUGAGUCUGUUCGGACGUCGUUUGGAGGCUGGUAUCCAACGACCUUUCUGUGACCUCUGAGCUUAACACCUGUGGCCAGUUACUCGAGUCGAGCCGGCAAGGGCCUGGUCGAUUAGAUAACGAACCACAAUAGUCUGUUCUAGGAAUCCUUGGGUAUUGAGACCCUUGAUUCCGGUAUACUCGAGUAUUACCACUUCUAUUUCUGUUGAGGUGUUUAGGCCCGAUAAGGGGUAUGUGUGGUAAACAGUAUUUUGGUGUAAAGUGGUGUUCUACUGGACUGGACUGGUUACUUUUUUUUGGAAGUUGACGGAGUGUCAACUAUUAUUUGAUCAAGAUUCGGUGAAGCAAAUGGAAAUUUGGCUCCUGAGAGCCACCCGUAUCCUUUCUAUCUAUGGUGUUGUUCAUUUCCUUAUUUGAUUUGCAUAUGUGACUAAUUGAAUAUGAAGUUCCAUGAUUCUUACUUGCUAUCAUUUUGGUACCUCAUUGAGCGUAAGCUCACCCCCUUCCCGUUAUCUUUGUUUUCCUUACAGAGAACCACACUUUGAGCCGUGAUUUUGAGAAAUGGGUUGAGCUGGUGUAAACGUUCUUUUGUUAGCUCUUGUGUAAUCAAAACACUAAUUGUCUUUGAAUGAAGUAUCCCGCUUUUAUUUGUAAAGUUUUCGAUGUAUGUAUAUAAGUGUUUAUCAUGUACGUUAAGUGUAUUCAUUUGAGAUGGUAUCUUACGGUGUAUAACUCAUGCUUCUCAGCUUAGUAGUCUUUGAUUGAGUGUUCUUUUGGGGAUUCGUUUGUGCGCGAUAUCAGAUUUGUGUGAUUCGACUCCGUAGUCCUGGCGAGAACUGGACAGGUGGUCCGCCGAACCCUUUGAUUCGCCUUAGGGUGAGGUGGGGCUGUUACACAAGUGGCAAGAGGUUCUCAAUGCCAUCUGCUGUAUGGAGACUAGAGUCAUGGAACGGAUUGAUCAACAAGAGUGUGUCCUCACACAGCGGUUGGAGAGACAUAAUCGGCGCCUUCGGGCAUUGGAAGACCAUUUCCACAUCCGCUGUUCGCCUUCUCCGAUUCCUACCACUGAGAAGGGCCACAUUGUUACAUUCCAGGGACCACAAGGUGCUGCUGAGAGCGUUGAUCCUGAUUCUGCGCAGCCUUGAAGAUCCCUUUAAUGACUAGCAAAUCUAUAGUCUUUUGUUUCUUUUUCUUUCUUUUAUUAUGUUUAGUUUGAACCUCGAAGUCUUCAUUUCCUUUGUUAAACUUGUGCUACUUAUGUUUCACCGUAUCUCUUGCUUCAGUUUGAGCAGAAUUUGAAUGUAAUGUUCGUGAUGUUCGUGGCCUCAAAAUUGCAGCAACACUUCUUUAUAGGGGAGUACUAGUUUCUUUUCCCUUCUUUCACAAUGAGGACAUUGUGAAUUUUAAGUGUGGGGGAGGGAGUACUUUGUGUUAUGGCUUGUUUGUGUCUUGAAGUGCAUGUUUUCAUUUGAUUGUGGCUUAGAAAUAUUGGAAUUAUAUUUGAAAAUAUUGCUAUGCGGAUAAUUUUCUUGAAAUUGGGUAUGUUGGCAGGGAGUUUUGUCCAUUUAUAAGGGAAAACUCUGUCAAAAUUUUUCAAAACUCUUUUCCAAUAUUUCAUUAUAACCAGAAUGCCUCAAAUAUUUGCACUUUUAUUCAAAAAAGAGCCAAAUUGUUCUAACCUUAAGUGUCUAAUUCUUCCAUUUGUUGAAAUGUUAUAUGUAUUUUGGAAGUUUUUAGUCCUCAUUUGACUUGAAAUUUUGUUAUUAUGCAAUUAGAAUUUUUGCAUUUUAGAAAGUAUAUCCGGUUAAGUAAGGAAAAUUAUGCCUAUAAUUUUACAUGUUUAAUAAGAUUUCUCCUUUUUGUUUAAUUUUAUAAGUAAGUGAUUGAUAUAGUCAAUAAGAAGCCAUACUCUUCCUUUAAUUAUUCUUAUACAUUUUCAAUGAGAGAAUAUCUAGUUAUUGAUUGUAUUAAAAAAAGAGAGAAAAAAGAAAAGAAAAAGAAAAAAUAAUAAUAAUAUAAUUGUUCUACUCCAGUAAUUCUUAUGCCGAGUAACCGGGGUUUGGCAUCUACAAAUGUCGACACUCGCGUAAAAAAAUACUUGAGUUAAGAGUAUGCAUAACAAAUUGAAUAAGUGAAAUGCUGAGUAACCGGGGAUCUUCACGUUAAAGUGUCGAUUUUCGCGUCAAAAGGCAUUUUCACUAUUUAAGUAAAAUAAAGUGUGAAUAAGUCCCUCUUAGUUGUAAAAAAAAAAGGGAUGGUUAUAGGAGGAGGAAGGUUAUAAAUUGACUAUGUGUCUAACCUUAAGUGUCUAAUUCUUCCAUUUGUUGAAAUGUUAUAUGUAUUUUGGAAGUUUUUAGUCCUCAUUUGACUUGAAAUUUUGUUAUUAUGCAAUUAGAAUUUUUGCAUUUUAGAAAGUAUAUCCGGUUAAGUACGGAAAAUUAUGCCUAUAAUUUUACAUGUUUAAUAAGAUUUCUCCUUUUUGUUUAAUUUUAUAAGUAAGUGAUUGAUAUAGUCAAUAAGAAGCCAUACUCUUCCUUUAAUUAUUCUUAUACAUUUUCAAUGAGAGAAUAUCUAGUUAUUGAUUGUAUUAAAAAAAGAGAGAAAAAAGAAAAGAAAAAAAAAAUAAUAUAAUUGUUCUACUCCAGUAAUUCUUAUGCCGAGUAACCGGGGUUUGGCAUCUACAAAUGUCGACACUCGCGUAAAAAAAUACUUGAGUUAAGAGUAUGCAUAACAAAUUGAAUAAGUGAAAUGCUGAGUAACCGGGGAUCUUCACCUUAAAGUGUCGAUUUUCGCGUCAAAAGGCAUUUUCACUAUUUAAGUAAAAUAAAGUGUGAAUAAGUCCCUCUUAGUUGUAAAAAAAAAAGGGAUGGUUAUAGGAGGAGGAAGGUUAUAAAUUGACUAUGUGAUUUGUUAUUUGUGAAAUUAGGUUAGGAUGAGAGAUUAAAUUGCAUUUGUUAAAAUAGGGUAUAAUUAUCUUUUCUUUACUUGAUAUUAUGAGUAUUUGGUGCAAUUUGAACAAUGGCAUAAUGAUUGAUUUCCAAGUCAUGAGGAAUUAAAUUCGACAAAAGUACAUGUAUUGUUUCACUUCUUGAAUCAUUGAAAUUGAUUAUGUGUGAAUUGCUUGAGGACAAGCAAUGAUUCAAGUGUGGGGGAAUUUGAUAAGUGAAUAUUUAACAUACAUUUUGUACAGUUUGGCAUGAAGUUUUGGUAUGUUUUGAGAGAAUUAAAGCCAUAUUGGAACUCUUUUUGGUACAAAUUGCUUAAGUGUUGUUUUGAUAAUGGAAACUUGCAAAAUGAAUGGAUUAAUGCACAAAUAUGUGAUAUUUUGUAGGUUAUCGGUGCACAAAAUACUUACAUAAGAUAAAGGAGAGGCAAGGUGCUAGUUGGAGGACAACGGACAAGUGAAACAAGGAGCGAAGAUUGAGCAAAAGAGAAAAGAAAUUGAAGUUAAAAACAUGGGAGAUGGAUCCGAGCUCUGAUCUAUCCCCGUCCGAGCCCUCGUCUGAUCAUCUGGAUAAGUGGAUCCGAGGGUCAGGCGAUUCGAGCUUGGAUCCAUUUGAGAAAAUCCUCGGAUCAGCCACGAUCCGAGCUCGGAUCCAAUUGUAUCCCUCGUAUCUAAGGCCUCGGAUCUGCCUCUCUCCUCUGCAAGUGGCUCAGUCAUUUUUCUUUCUUUUCACACUACUUUCCAGCUAUAUUUGGUAAGAGAAUUCGGUGGCACAUGUUUCUGAUGCAAAAAGGAGGACAAUAUGAUUUAUUGUCAAGUCAAAAACUAUUGCUUUUGACUUUCUUAACAAGAUUAAGAGUUGAGAAUCAUGAGAAGGUGGAAAAGGAACUUUUCCACCAGCUUUCCUUUUCCACCAGCUUUCAUGCAAAGCAACAAAGGAGAGGUGAGACAUCAUACAGAAGCUAGUAUUUUCUUGUAGACAAUUCUCUCUAGCUAGCAAAUCUUGCAAAAACACUUGGAGACUUGAUUUUGUAAUCAUCUAGUGCAAGACAUAGCAGAAUUUUGGGGGUCUCACCGUUAACUUGGCUAAGCUUUCUUUCUCCUUUUGUGUACUUGUAACUUGUGAUGUUUUCCAUUAAUGAAGUUAUGAGUUUGAUUGUUAUAUAAUUCAUGAGUAGCUAAAUUUCUAUAUUUAGGGAGUAGAUGAAACUCAUGGCCAAGUGAUAUGAAUUGAAUGAGAUUUACACUUGUUGUAUCUGGUAUUAACUUGUCUUCUUGUGCAUGUUGAUUACUUCUUGUUGUUUGAUCAUCAAUAGCAGGUUUAUAGUUGUUAUUACUCAAUGAGAAUUGGUAAUAACAAUGGAAUAACAUGAGUAAAGCUUGAGUUGUAGGUUCAUGAGAACAGAAAUACAUUCAAGUGGAUUAAAUUUACAUUUCAUGAAUGAAAUAAGAACAGAGUUAAUUACUCACCAAGAGAUUAGGGAAAACUAGAUUGUUCUAAACCAUUAUUAUCAUGAGAAUGAGAUUUUGGCAUUUUUGGAAAUGAAUCCCUGAUUAAACAAGAGUAGUAACAAGUGUUAAAUUCAUUCAAUUGGAUUUUUUGUGGCAUAAGUGGAAUCUAUAUCCCUAGAUUCAAGUCUUUAGUGUAUUUUCUCCAUUUGUAACUUGAAAUUAUUAAAUCAGAUUAUAGGAAGUAGCAAAUAUAAUUUUUCUACUCAAUCUCAUUUUAAGUCUAAAUAAUAGAGGAAAUAAGGAUCUAGUACUUGUAGACAUUGCUCCUCAUGGGAUUGACGUGAUACAUGCCCUAUACUAUUUGAUUGACCUGUAUACUUACAGACAAAUGGAUAUAAAAUCGGAAUUAAAUUUGCACUUUUAUCGAAAACCCGACAGUUGCAAAUGUCAAUUAAUACUUGAAUUAAAUAAUUUAGAAUGAAUAUGGUCAAAAAUGACGAUGAAUAAAAAAUAUUGAAGACUUAGAUGAAUGGUUUUGGAUGCUACACUUGUGUAUAUAUGCUUAUGCUUGUUUGUGGAUUCAAAGUGAGCGAAAAGUUUGCCUUUAAACAUCCUUGAAUAAUGGUAAAGUGUUUUUUUCUCUUAAAUGGUAAAGUUACAUACCAUUUGUUUUCAUUUUCUCAAAUUCUUAAUUGCAGGUAUAUAUAAAGGCUUGAAAACGUGGUAGACUAUCCCAUUGGUUAAUAAAGCGGCUGCAGAUAGGCGUUUGACAUAGAUAAUUUCUCUCUUAUAAUUUAAUCGUUCAUGUUCCUAUAUUUGCAUUGCGAGGCAAAAAAUUCCUGUAUAUUACUAUUUACCUUACUUUACUCAAUAUAUUCAAAUUCACAUGAACAUUUAAUUUGUAGAAAAUCAUGAAUACGUUAUAUUCUUUGAAAAUCUAUGUCCCAAAAAAAACCCUUUAAUGAAAGUACCAUGUUAGCAAGGAAAACGAAGUCCGGGCAUUACAACUCCCGUUUUACUCCACUUCGAAGUAAGAUGGUGAUUUUAACUUUUAUUUUAAUUUAAUUACACCAUUAUGUAAUUUUUUUACUGCAUCUUCUAACUCGGUUGCUCCAACAGCAAACUCAUCUGGAAUGAAACUUGUGUUGUGAUCCCCGUCCCCAAGGAGAACAAAGAAAGCAUGCAUUACAUACGAAGCGUAUAUCCUUGGACUAAUUUCAUUUUGUGCCCUAAGUUAUGACUUAUUCUCAUUUUACACCCUCCAUUUUUGGGCAUAUUGCAUUCUAAAUUUUCAGAUUGUUUCAUUUUUGUCCAAUUGUAACAUUAUUAAAAAAAAUUAACAAGCACCAUAUGCACCUGUUAUCCAGCAAAUCAAGUGUCAUUUAGCACCCCAAGCUUAAAACCAUAUUCAUUUUGCACUCCAAACUCUAACAUUUAGACACAUAAUCCCCUUAACUUUGUUAUGAUGUAUAGUAAUAUUUUUUUUUAUUAACACAGGGUUACUUUAUUUGAUAAAAUAAAAGGAGGACAUACAUGGAAAGCAAAACCAGAAAUGCACAAGUGCUAACUUAACCUACGCUCUAACUCUAUGCAAACUUGGAACACCCAUCUGAUCAAGAUCGAAGUCGCCUCUCAUCAAGCGAGGCAAAUCACGAAAUGAGCCAUACGUUAGAGUUUUUCUUGAGUCCGCUCCGAGGUUUGCAAGGUGGUCAGCCGGUUUAUUCGCUUCCCAAAAGCAGUGUGAUACCUCUCUAACAAACCUUCUAACUUUUAACAGGUCCUAUAAGUCCCCUCGCAACUGCCAUUGACACUGAGUUUCCCUUGAAUGAUCCGAACCAGAACCAAAGAGUCAGAUUCUAAAUGUAAAUCAGAAUACCCACGGGCAAUAGCCAACCCAACACCAAAAAUCAACGCUUUCAAUUCAGCCUGCAAACUCGUCAUCUCCCCACAGAAACACGAGAACCCCCAUCUCCACUCACUCCUACGUUUCCCCGAGAGCAGCCAUCCGAGUUCAGCUUGACCACAUGUUGCCCUAGGCAGCUCCACCGAACCACCAAGGUUUUGGAAACCUUGUGCAGACCAGCCACCAUACCGUAAAAACCCGGCCAAUCUUGACCAGAGGUAAUGAAGCCUUUAAAUUUAAGGAGAAAAAUGUCCCUGAGAUCCCCAAAAAUUGCAGCACAAACAUGAGCCACGGGCCACAGAUGGCCAUCUAAGACAAAAGAGUUUCGUAUCUUCCACAAAUUCCAACAUAUUAAAGACGGUAAUAGGCGGAAAAGAUACUGGAGAUACGGGUUCCGAGUAGGCUUCAACCACUAGCUAACCAACUUGUGUCUUACAGUAGAGGAAUCCCGAAACCCUCCAAUCACCCCUUCGAAAUAGCCCCAAAUCCUCUUUGCCGCCACACCAAUACAGAAAAUGUGAUCAGUAUACUCUUGACAUGGAUGUAGACAACAAAAACAAUGAGAGGGGCCGAAUAUACCAAGUUUAUGCAACCUGUCCAUCACCAGCAAACAUGAUCCUAUCAAUCUUAACAUGAAAAAAGAAAUCUUUAUCGGCAGACCUUGAAACCAAAGCAAUGAGUAGAGUCAGGAGCUAUUUCCACCCUCUCGAGCGAUCCGGUAGGCUGAUGCUAAUGAGAAGGCACUAGAGGUACUUGGAGCCCAAACUAUGGUAUCUGCUUGAUCUAGCGAAGGAGGCGCGACUCCCAAAAUCUUCCCUACCCAUCUGCUGGGUGCUACCAUACUCAACCGUCUCCCAGCAACCCUGUUCAACAAAAUCAGAAACUGCACACUCCUGAAAAGUAUCCACAUGUCGACAUAAUGGACCGUCCCCAACCAAUUAUCAUGCCAAAAGCUCACACUACCCCUAGCCAAAAUCCAGUGGAUGUGUUGCUCCGCAACACCCUAGAUAGCCACCAUUCUCUUCCAAGUCCAAGAGUACAAUAGGUAUAGAUAGAUUUUCAUUUAAUAUUUGACCCAUCUUGUUACUGUCAAAUUGAUAAAAUUAUUUAGAUUAAUCUUCUAUAUACUGACAAUGCAUAUACUAUCAAGCAUAAAUAGAUGCCAUGUAUGUUCCAUUAGAAUUAGAAUUCUAAAUUUUUUAUAUGUGAUGUGCAUCUAUAUGCAAUAAUAUAUAUAUUGUAACUAUAUAUAAAUUAACUCAAAUUAUUUUUACAAAUUUUUUUCUUUGACAUGAGCAUGUGUGCAUGUACACAUCAUUCUUUUGUUGAUGCUAGCAAAGAGUGUAUUUGAUAGCAAAUUAUUUCUCAAUUACUUUUUGUCUCACAUAUAUCACAUAAAAAGUGUCACGAUACUUUUUUUUUAAAAAAAAUUAUCCCAAAUAAUCUCCUAUCCAAAUACACUCAAUAUUAAUUGAAUGUUCAACAAAAAAUAAUCGUUGUGCAUGUACGGCACCAUUAAUCCUAUUCUAAUCGUUGUGCUUGUAACCAACAUUUGAAUUAUGUUAGCCGCACUUAGUUGCCAACACUUAGCCUGUCCAAUACUUUGUCAAACUGUGAACCAUAAGUUUUAAUUGUUUAUUAAUUGGUAAAUAAAUAAUAUGUCAACAAGUUUAUUGUCCUUUACUUUUUAUAACACCUAAUUUAAAAUUUUGGCUUAUUCCUCGUUUAGAUAUUUGUACAUCAACCUUUAUGGUGUAGGGUUUUUGGUCUUAAUCCAAAAAAAAAAAAACUUUUGUGUCUUAAUUAUUAUUUUGGUGAUUAUAGAAAUAUAAAAUGUUAUAAAAGUAAUUUUAUGAAUUUGAUGUCGGCAAGAAACGUCAAGUACCAGGUAACACUAUCUUCACAUGCCGUUACCGCUACCACCCCUCUCAAAUUCUCUCUUUCUGCCUCAAUUAAUUAUGCCAGCCACUUUGGCUUCCAUGUUCAAAAAAGGUAUGCUGCGUUGGAAUAUAUGAUUCACUUUUUUGCGGAAUGUAACUAUGAUUUAUAUAGAAUCUUAUGGACUGAAUUGUUAAAAUGCUGCUCAUUUGAAGUUUUAGAGAUUAUUCAGCAAUUUGGCAAAGUCCCUUAGCUUUUAUGCGCAACUAGUUGUUGCCUAUUGUUUUCCCUUUCAACCCCAAAAAAUGUGGGGACUAAGACUGGGAGAAUAAAACAUUAAGAUAAGGAGUGAAACACUUUCAUUUAGAUGAUAGGCUACAUGACAUAGCUUUGAUUACAUACGAAGCUUAAAUUAAGAAACCAUGCAAGGAAACUAUAUAAGGCAAUUCAAGAGCAAUCAUAUUCCAACACAGCCACAAAUCCUACAUCCUACUAGAUCUCCACAUUUGCAAGCCAAACAAGAUCAAUUUUUGAAAACCAGUGGCAUGCCUCGGUUUGUCCGGGAGAGGCUUUAAGAAUCUUGAAGGCCACAUGAUCCGCUGGGAACGAUGAUGUAUCCAUGUGACAUAUUGCAAGGAUUUUAUUAACAGGAGCUCUUGUUUCGGGUUCUACCAAAUCAACAGCAUAAAGAUGAGUAGAGGAGAUCAAAUGGCAAAAGUAGGCUGCAAAUGGGAAGAAAAGUUCAUGACAUGAGACAACUUUUUCAGCAUCAAAUUGCUUUAUGUUUCCAAUUAUUAGCUCUUUUCCUGACCCUUUUGUACUUUUGGAAGUUAAUGCAACCAACUGUUUUACACCUAAAACUUUCUUUGAGAAUUCUAUCAUGUCUUCUAGUGAUUUUGGGCAGCUCUUAAUCUCCCCUUUUAGAGCUGGUGCACUACAGUAUAGAAGGCUAGUUUCAAUGGCUUCUUUUGUUGCAGGAGAAGUAAAAGACUCAGGAAACAUUUUCUGGAGAUCAGUAGAGCUAGUAGAUAUCUUUGAUGCAAUUUGAGAAGGAAGAAAAGAGCGAGGAGGAGUUUGAUCAUUCAAAUUUGGGAGGUGAACUCUAUUCCCUUGUUCCAGGAUUGACAGCCUAAAGAAAGAGUUGGGGUCAGCCUCAUCGGCAUGAAAGGUGCCGCUGCCGUAUCUGUUGUAUUCACAAUCAAGUUUAAGAAACUUUCCAGGCAAAACUGAACAAGCCAAAUUAGCCAUGGAGCAAAAUUUGGCAUGAUCAGAAGAGAGUGAUUGUUUGGAUACUAAAGAAGCAAAAUAAUCAGAAUCACGCUUAGACAGUGGUGAUAAUUUUGACAAAACUGAUUCAGGCAUAUUAUUGAGUACAUUUUUAGACCAAAAGUUGAGCUGAUUGGAGGCAGCAGACGUGGAAGCAAACGAUGCAAUUGUCACAGGAGUUGAAGCAAGAGCUAGGAAAAGGAAGGUAAAGAUCAAGGAAGAUGUUAAGGAAAAUUUAGCCAUGUUUUCUUAGCUGAGAAUAGCUCGAGGGAAAAGGAUUCAGCUAGCAUGGUAUUUAUACUCGAAGAAAAUGAUAUAUUUCCAAUAAUAGAGAGUCUAAAACAAUGAGAUAUACUAGUAUUGAAUUUGGACCACAUUUUGUCAUAUUUAAGAAUGGACAUUAGAUCACAUGCCAUGUUGAAAAAAGGACGAAAACCUAU